rnacentral:lncRNA from 1 species
UUUUUUUUUCUUGUCAUGCUGUCUAGUUUCUAAACGCUUGCAUUGGUUCUAUAGACACAAAGGCUUGGGAGGUUGAUACUUUGCGCGGUCACACCAACAACGUUUCCUGUGUCCUGUUCCACGCUCGCCAGGACAUCAUCGUCUCUAACUCGGAGGACAAAACUAUUCGAGUCUGGGACUUGUCCAAGCGUUCGGCCGUGCAAACUUUCAGGAGGGACCACGACCGUUUCUGGGUUAUCUGUGGCCACCCCGAGAUGAACCUUCUUGCGGCAGGGCAUGACAGUGGAAUUAUAGUCUUCAAGCUCGAAAGGGAGAGGCCGGCUUAUACAAUCAGUGCAGGGGUGCUGUAUUACGUCAAAGAAAAGAGUUUGAGGACUUACGACUUUGCCACUUCGGAGGACACAUCACUGAUAAACAUUCGAAGAGCGGGGCUGAAUCAGGCGCCUAGAACGUUGUCUUACAAUCCAGCUGAGAACGCCGUUCUUUUAUGCUCGGACGUUGACAACGGUACGUACGAGCUUUACAUCAUCCCAAGGGACAGCAUCAGAAACGACACUUUGGAACCGAAGAAAGGCAGCGGGUCGUCGGCCGUUUUCGUGGCCCGCAACCGCUUUGCUGUUCUGGACAAGGCGCACGGCUUGAUUCUAGUCAAGAAUCUCAGGAACGAGGUCUCCAAGAGAGUCGAGGCUCCAUCUGCGACAGUUGAUGCCAUCUUCUAUGCGGGGACGGGAACUCUUCUCUGUCGCUCAGACGACAAGAUGAUCUUGUUUGACCUCCAACAGAAGGCGGUUUUGGGAGAGAUUCACAGCCCCCAAGUGAAGUACGUGGUUUGGUCACUGGACAUGGAGGCCGUGGCUCUGGUGAGCAAGCAUAGCGUCGUCAUGACGACGAAGACGCUGGCUCUCAAGUGCAGCGUUCACGAGACUAUCCGUAUCAAGAGUGCUGCAUGGGAUGACAAAGGGGUGCUCUUCUACACGACUCUGAACCACAUCAAGUACUGUCUUCCAAAUGGAGAUAACGGCACCAUCUCGACUCUGGACGUUCCAAUCUACAUAACUCGGGUGGCCGGCGACAAAGUCUAUUUCCUGGACAGGGAGGGGAAAGUUAAGACCAUCACCAUUGACACGACGGAGUUCACGUUUAAGCUGGCGCUGCUCCAGGAACGAUACGAUCGAGUUUUGGAAAUGAUCAGGAGCUCUCGACUUUGUGGACAGGCGAUCAUCUCAUAUCUGCAGCAGAAGGGAUUCCCCGAGGUAGCCCUGCAUUUCGUGAAGGACGAGAGGACCAAGUUCAAUCUGGCCAUCGAGUGUGGCAACAUCGAAGUCGCAGUUGCUUCAGCAAAAGAGAUUGACGAGAAGGAUUACUGGUACAGGCUGGGGGUGGAAGCUUUAAGGCAGGGCAACCACGAGAUUGUGGAGUACGCAUAUCAGCGAACAAGGAACUUUGAGAGGCUGUCGUUCCUCUACCUGAUAACCGGGAAUUUGGACAAGCUGUCGAGGAUGCUGAAGAUCGCAGAGACGAGAAACGACGUGAUGGGAUGCUUUCACAACGCCUUAUACCUGGGUGACGUCGAAGAGCGGGUCAAGUUACUUGAGAAAACGGGACACGUUCCUCUUGCAUACGCAACUGCGGCUGUUCAUGGGCUUGUUGAGGUGGCGGAGCGUCUGGCUACAGAGCUGGGUGACAAGGUGCCACAGAUUCCUAAGCUUGAGAAGUCGAAGUUGCUAGUGCCGCCAUCUCCAAUUCUCCGGGACAGCAACUGGCCGCUGCUCUUGAUCAGCAGAGGCUUUUUCGAAGGCGGCUUUGCCGAGCCUGGGGUAGUGGACCAAGAGGAAGAAAACGCUCCGGAUGAAUGGGGUGAAGAACUCGUCAUCAUACCAGGCGGAGAGUCUCAAAGAACUGGCGAAAUGGAAGAGAUCGAGGAGAUUCAAAGAGCCGGAGCUGGAGCUGAGGAGGGCGAAGAAGAGGGAGGCUGGGAGCUGGAAGACCUGGAACUUCCGCCGGAGGUGGUGCAGAGCCAAAACGCUACAACGUCCAGCUUCUUCGCUGGUGUAACUCCAGGAGCUCCGGUCACUCAACUCUGGACGCAAAGGUCCUCCUUGGCUGCCGAUCACGUGGCCGCUGGAGCCUUCGACAGUGCAAUGCGCCUCCUCAAUCGGCAACUCGGGAUCAAAAACUUCGCGCCGCUGCAACUGGUGUUUUGCGACCUCCACCUCGCGAGCCAGAGCUCGCUUGGGGCCUUCAAGCCGGUGGAGUCCCUGACGUAUGGCCUCGAGAGAGGCUGGUCGGACUCGCCGCCUCCAAACGUCCGCAACGGGCCAGCGCUGAUCUACAAGCUCUCCCAGCUGGAGGACCGAGCCAAGCAGGCCUACAAGCUCACCACCGAAGGCAAAUUCACUGAAGCUCUCCGCCUCUUCCUCGCCAUCCUUCACACCGUCCCGGUGAUUGUCGUGGACAGCCGCAAAGAGGUGGACGACGUCAAGGACCUGAUCGGCAAGAGCAAGGAGUACGUCCUGGCGCUCAAGAUGGAGCUCAAGCGCAAGGAUCUCAGGGACGAGCCCGUCCGCCAGGCCGAGCUCGCGGCGUACUUCCCUCACUGCGACAUCCAGCCUUCGCACGUCCGGCUCGGCUUACAGUCGGCUAUGGCGGCCUCGUAUCGGUGCGGGAACUUCGCCACGGCGGCGCAGCUCGCGAGGCGAUUGCUCGACAUGAAUCCAAACCAGGCCAGCAUCGCCAAGGCGCGGCAGCUCCUCCAGGCGUGCGAGAGGAACCCCCGCGACGAGAAGAGGAUGAACUACGACGGCAGGAACCCGUUCGUGGUGUGUGGAGCAACGUUUACGCCCAUCUACGCGGGCAGCAGGUCGGUGUCGUGCCCCUACUGCGCUGCUCGGUUCGUCCCCGAGGUGGCGGGCAGGAUUUGCAGCGUUUGCGACUUGGCGGUGGUGGAUGCUGACGCUUCCGGGCUUGUGUGUUGCCCGACUCAAUCGCGGUGAUCAAUCAACUAACGUUUUUAAAAGAAAAAGAGCGCGAAACAUAAUUAUAGGGUUUAUAAAUAAUAUCCGGGUUUAGUGUCUAGGGUUUAGGUUCCUAUUCCAUAUGUAGUUAGAGCCGAUGAGAUAUGGAACAAAGCUCGAAAGAAUAGUCAUAUAUGUAAUUUUUCCUCAAGGCACAGCGAUAUGGGAGAAUAGUGAGCAAUUGUUGUGGGAAGGGCAUGGAGAUCAGGAUCGAGGCUGAAAUCUCCAGAGAAGUCUAGAGCCAGUGUUUGUCAAGUCUUUAGCCUUUUGGAUCCUGCGAUUGAACAUGUGAGGUUUUUGCAAGAGGGGCGUUUCUGCCAUAUGAUCAAGGAAGAGAUUAGCGAUCUGGAGAGCUCAGAGAGUUUCUAAACACUAGCUCCAGUACCAACAGAAAGGAACCCAUGAUCGAGGCCAUCACCGGAUCUGCGAGCCAAACGAGUCACUGAUGUGAAUAGAAAAGCUUGGAUGAAUCUUUUCUUUCUUUUGUGCUUCUUCCGAGCUGCUGCUUUCUAAAUGCAAUGAAUCAUGAGAUAGAAAUGGGUCUCUAAAACGCCCAAAUGAUUCUUGCACUUCGGGACGCGCUGCAAAGAGAAAAGAGCCCACCAAUCGGUUCCUCGCCGGAAGCGACUACAUUAUUCUGCUUCAUCAGUACCCCUAAAGGAGAAGAGGAAUCUCAAGAUCUAUUUCAAAGGGAAAGCAAAGACAAGGAGCCAGGAAAUCUAUGACGCUGUAGACUUGGCCGUUUGGAUUUGCUGCCACUGGGUUGGCCUUUGGGAGCAGCCAACCCAAGGGCAGCAUGCUGGGUUUGCGCAAACCCAGACGGCCAAGUCUACAACAGCAGCUAUCCCCACCGCUACCAGGACAAGCGGUGGGAUAAAGUAGAAGAUCCUGCUUAUCACCCUUCCAACUCCCCCACUAGCGCUGCCACCUGACCCAGUAGAGCUGGUUCGAUCAGUUUCAGUCCGUCCUCUUCGCAGCCGUAACCACAACGUUGUGGUUACGACUGCGAAGAGGAGAUGCUUGUGGACUGAAACUGAUGGGUCAAAAGCUUGCCCGAGUGGCAGUGGUGCUUAAAGCACUCACAUCGAUCUGUGCACGAGAGAAACAAUGGCCACACAAUCAAUCCCAAAAGGAGAGCUAGAAUGAGCACUACGUAGUGACUUACCUGAAAUGGUUGCGAGCACUACUCGCAAGAGGGAGUGAGAGCCACUAGAUAGAGAGGGAUCUUGGAUAUUCCAGGAGUCGAGGCUAAGCUUUAUCCUUCCACCGGCGACUACAUAAUGGAGUGGCACAAAACCAAUGCAACCGGGCCGGCAUUGUAGCCAAGAGGAGUUUGAAUUCUUGAUCGUCGCAGAAGAUCUUCAAACGGACGGCUAAGAUCUGGGUUUUGUGUUACUAACGGACGGCUCAGAUCUGAAAUUUGACUUUCUGUUCGCGAGGUUGUGGGCAAAAGCCGGCUGACAAGUGUGCCUCCAGCGUCACUCUCCUCGGCUCCGUCGACUCAUCCAGCAGAACGGCGGCCCUGGGCCGAGGUGGGUGACCCUGUAGCGCGGUGGAGCCUUGCUUCUCACCCCCGCAUUUCCGGCUUCUCACCACCGCGAAGGCGAAGAUAUUGCCCGUUUGCGCUACCGAGUGCUGCCGCCUCCACGUCGAGAGAGCAACGCUCACCACCGAAGGGAAAUUCAAUGGGCUCUUCCGUGAUCGUCCGCAAAGGUGGACGACGUCAAGCUUGAUCGGCAAGAGUCCGAACUUCACCUGAGGGGCCGUCGCGUGCUGUUCAAAUCGAACGUAAAAUCGGCGAAUUCUACGAUGAAAUGUUUCUUGCCCUAAAGGAUGCCAAGUGAAGCUUUUUCGGCCUGCGCGAUUAGACAUUGUUUUCGUUUGCUUGUAAGACGGGGAGAAGAGCUCUGAAUAGUUUGUGUGUUCUUAUCCGCGUCCUUCCGAGCUGGAGCUGGCACAUCUGGAAUGGUUUCUAAACACUAGCUCCAUUACCAACAGAAUGAUUACUCAAGGAUCGUCUGUAGCUAAUUAAGCCAUGGGAGAAUUAGCGUUUGAUCACAAAUCAUCGGGCGAUGGCCGCGAUGCUCGCAACCAGCUCAGAGAAUCAUGGGACCCAGAAUCUGAAAAUGAAGCGAUUCUUGAUUCUUGACACUUCUACAUGCAUUGGAAAAGAGAAAUCAGCUCACGGCCGGGAGAAUAUCUUCAUCAUUACCCGAGAAAGGAUCUAUUUCAAAGAAAAAAAAGAUUUUACAAGCAGACAAGCCAACCUUGAAGCUUGACUGCUUGUAAACUCUUUGCUUCCACGAUCAUGAGUCGCCAGUGUCACAAAGUUGUUGUUUGAUUGCGAACAGGAGAUGCAUGCGCAAGAAAACUGAUAUAGCUCAGGUGGCAGCAGCGCAGGCGAUGAGCACGGGGAUGUAUGCACUACUAACCUGUUUUUUUUUCUUGUUUACCUCGCAUUCGAGACGCCAUAGAACGAGGCCCUUGCAAUCUUCUCGAAGCGUUCUCGGGAGGGAAACACCGUGGAAAUACCACACUGAAAUCGCUUGUUUUCCCAGAGUGGAAAAGGGGUGCUAGUGGAGCAGGAAGAAGUACCAGGAGGCCGAGGAGUAGAAGCGCUCUAGCUCGAGGACUAGCAAAAGGAAACAGAGUGAGAAAGAUUGGGCUGGACCUGGUGAGAAUUACGAAAACGGCAAAAGUAUGAAUGACGAUUGCAUCUCGUCUCUUUUGUGCUCGCUCUGCAGGGAGGGUUGAGAGCGGAACUGGCAGCUGAUCUCUUGGAGAACUGCGAUCAGUCUGCCCUGAUGCCACAAGUUUGCCCAGAGAGGGAAUUUGAACCGAUGCGAGGAACUGCUUCUGGAGAUCUUAUGGUGCAGCAUUGCAUUCUAAAAUUUGAUAAGUCAUAUGUAUAACAUGCGUGGCAAAACAAUAUCAAGAAGGUUUUUGAAAGGAUCCCAAAGCAAGAUAGCCUUCUGUGGAACGUGGUGUUUUUGCAUAUGCCUUGUUUGAAUCUUUGCCAAUGUUAGAAGAUCAACUUCGGGAAUGGCGGAAGCGGGCUCAUAGCAUCUCAUUUUCGUAAGCGUCCUAAAUUCCUCGGAAAACGUCACUGCCUUGGCGUGGACGGAUCCGAUGACAAGUGUUGCUUAAUGUUCGCGAAGGAAGGGAUCGAAGAUUUGUCAAAUUUUGAAACUGAUGCACGUUGAAGCAGUUGAAAGAUCAAUAUAUUGACCAACCUGCUUUGACUCAACUAUGCUGACCAAGCAAGAGAUCUUGUGGCAAAAAAAAUGUUACGAGCACAAAAUCAUACAAAAUGGUGUCUGUGGGGACAACGUUUUUGCGCACACUCUAACUCAUUCUACUCAAAGGAAAAACAACAUUAUUUUGAAAGAACACGGAAGUACACACCUCUCAAGUAUUAAGACACGGAGUUGUAGAGAGAAGCCGCUCAUUCAUUCAUCCAUGGUGUUUUUUCUUGUUCUGGUUCUUCUGCUUCAAUCCUUUGCAAAAGCUCAAUGCCUGAGCUUCCGUUUCCCUGGCACCUCCGAUCAAUAUUUUCGAGAUCACAUUUCCGGCCUCAAAUUUCAGCCAAGCCUUCUAUGCUUUAUCUGUCUCCCGCAUGCCGUUGUUAUUUGAUGCCAGCUUCGUCUUCCGGACUCAUAGUGAUACAGGCAGGCUUGUAUUCCUAGUGGCGGGGACAUCGCCGAACUACCCAGUUUGUUAUGCUGAUCCCCUGUACCCAUGCGAUCCACUCCAAGUGGCUUUCAGUUUUGCAGAUCAUUGGGUUUCUGUUCAUGGCUGCAAUGCAUCUUCAUCUAAAUCCAACUUCCGUUUCUCCACGAAUGCCACUGUCAACGCAUGGGUGGAAUAUCAUCUUCAUGGAGCUCCACACUCCGUCCGUGUUUAUGUUGCAGAGAAUACCAACUCUCGACCAAGCACAUCAAUCACCGAUUUCAGUUGUUCUAUCACUGGUGGCUACUUCUUCCAGGGGUUGCAAGCUCUUGAAACAAACGACAUAGUCACAGUUUCGUCUUGGUCAUUCUCAACUGCUGGUGCUGCCUCUGCUUCAAAAGACCUGAAUUUAUACUUCUUGGCGAUUGCAGGCCCAUUUGUGAUUGCUGGAGCAGCACUUUUGAUUUUUCGAACACGAAGAAGGCAGCUGAUGAAGAAGAAGGUGUUGCAGAGGUCGGCUUUGCUAGCUGCCAACAUUCCGAUAAACUGCACCUUCAAAGAGCUGCGAUCUGCAACAGCUGACUUCAAGGAAGUUCUAGGCAGAGGUGGAACCAGCACCGUCUACAAGGGGUUCCUGCAAAAUACACCAACAUCAAGGAUAGAAGUCGCAGUCAAAGACCUUCAAAGCAAUUCACCUGAUCAUGAGGCUGAGCAGCAGUUCCGGGAAGAACUCAACAUGAUCAGCAGGGUAAGGCACCAAAACCUGGUCGCGCUCCAAGGCUGGUGCCAUGAGCACGAUAAGCUCCUCCUCGUCUACGAAUGCAUGUCCAAAGGAAGCCUAGACAAGGUACUCUUCACAAGCGCUUCGGGUUCAACUAAUCCGCUAUCCUGGAACCAAAGAUUCAAUAUCAUCAGAUGUGUUGCAGAGGCGCUAAGAUACCUGCAUGAAGGGUUGGAGAAGCGGAUUGUUCACAGGGAUAUCAAAGCGGCAAAUGUCCUGCUGGAUGAAAGAAUGACUGCCAAGGUGGGGGACUUCGGCCUAGCCAGGUUGAUGCAGCACACAAUCGGCUCUCAAACGAUGACCAGGGCGGGAACAUUCGGUUAUAUCUCACCGGAGCUUGCUUAUAGUGGAAGAGCCACUGAAAAAUCCGACGUGUACAGUUUCGGGAUUCUUGUACUCGAAAUUGUUGCUGGAAGACGCGCUGUCGACCACAGGUUUGCUGGUGACACUAAGAUGGUGCUCUUGGAAUGGGCCGGAACAGUGAGUCAACCCGCAGAACUUGUUGAUCCAAGGAUCCAAGAUGGAAUUGAUAUGAAGCAGGUUGAGAGAAUAAUUCAAUUGGCCCUAAGAUGCUGCUCUUGGCAUUCGGAGGAGCGGCCGACGAUGAGGCUGUGCUGCCAAAUCUUGAGUGGUGAAUCAGAGCUGCCAAAUUUACCGCUUGCAGCAAACACAGACAUUGUCGUUACAAGAGCUGAGAUUCCCGAAGAUUACGAUUCGAAGUCUUCUUUGCACAGUGCAAGCAAUGCCUCUGACGAUGUCAACCUAAACAGAUUCCACGCGUGAUUCCAGAAGCUUGGUUGGGCAACGUGCAAACCCGCUGUCAGGAGGUAUAAACGAAGUUAUUGCACCAAAUUUUACAAGUGACAUUCACAAGACUUAUUACUUGAAAGCUUAAAUAAUUCCAAGAAAUGCUAUAUAUAUUCUUUCAAGGUUCUACUUUUUGGUUUUUAAACCUUGAAAAUUGUUUAAAUCCCAUUCUUGUUUAGCUGACGAGAAAACAAACCGAUUCUUGAUUCUUGAAACUUUUCUGCAGCGCAUUGCUCCAACGCACUGCAGAAGAUUCAAGAUUCAAGAAUCGCUUCAUGCCACCGAGAAGAGAAAUCUCAAGUUCUAAAAAUUCACAAGCGGCAGCUCUCCAUCAAGCUCGUUUUGGUAACUGGCUGCUCGCCACCAGCAGCGAGCAAAAACAGCGGAGCCAAACAGAGCAUCCUGCUCAUGAUCAGACCUUUGUUGCUCCCAGCGGUGCCGUUGCUAUCGGAUCCAACAGAGCUGCUCUGCCUGGUUUGCUGAUAGUUUUCCUUUCGUAGCAGGGAAGAUAUCCUCUUCCCAGCCAAGAGUACAACUUUGUGGCUGCCCAUCACCAUUGAUCAGUCCCAAGAAAGAGCCCCAAAUUAUUUAAAUCAUAGAAUGAGCUUGCUUACCUUGUGCUGGGAAACGAGAGAUUGAAACUAGUGAGGGAAACCAACAUGGGCUUAUAUACGGCCAGGAUUAUAGUUUGAAGUGCGAAUAUUCUAAGGAAACCCGGUCAAGAUUUGGUGUUGACCGUCGUUCCAUUAUUAACAUAAUCUACUAUUAUAAAUUGCUGAACUUUGUGAUCUGCCGGAUCUGGAUUAGCACCGUUGGAUGCUGAGUAAUUCGGUAAAUAUCAAUUUUCUAUUGUGAGUCCUUUCGAAAUAUUUUUGCGAAAUUUGGGCCGGGCAGUGAGCACGUGCUAGGGGAGGAAGUGUUCAUUUGAACUCUCUUUUUACCGCAGCUCCUCAAGUUUCCAAGAAAGUGGGAGAGGAGGCGGCCGCUGACCAGCAUUGCCGAGGCCCAGGAGCUUGCGUUGCUCCAGCACAGCUCGGUGAUUACCCUUUGCCAGCAGAUGUUUAGUUUUAUUUCUUACCAGAGUGACCAACUUUCUCUUUUUCUUGCCUCUUUCAUCGAGGUGGCUUCUUUCCAUUCAGACGAUGGUCUCUUGCAACCAGGAGAUCAACCUCGAAACCAAGGCUCCUCUCAAACUCGCGCAGCAAACAAACUUCAAGCUCAGAGCAGAUGCUCACCACCUUUCUCAUCCAAAGUAGCCUGUGCACGCCUGCUCUCGCCAAAUACUCAUCCGCGGACUCGGGCAUGUCAAAGUUGAUAACAUGCUUCCUUCCACUGUAGAUUAUGUUGGUGAUUAGAAGCAAACCACGCUGGCCCGAUUCGUGUCUUCAAUGCAGUGCUGUGGCAUGUCAGUGUGCGCUGCAGCCACUUCAAAACCCGCACUUUCCAUCGCAGAAGCAACCAGUUCCACCUGCGAUACGGAGUUGCAGUACACAGUCACUGUGACGCUCCUGGUCCGAAACAACUUCCACACUUCCCCGAGCUUGGCGAGCUUGUCACUGGCGCUCUUGACAGCUGCAUAGAAGUGCUUGACUGACCUUACGGUGAAGGCUGGCCUGGCAAUCCUGCUCGUCUCGCCCUUGCAGAACCUUGUGACGAUAUCUUCUACAUCGUCUAGCGAGUGGAUACCGAAGGUCACGUCACAGCUCCAAAGGAUGGAGCAUAUUGCCUCCAUAUGUACUUUGUGUGUGGAAACAAGCACAUCCGUCUCUACAAGAACCGCUCUGUGUGGCUUCCAAGUCGUGCUGGCCCCCGCACAAUACUUCCUGCAUCCUGUCUGGAGUCCCGAGUACAAUUCCGGGUGAAAGGUCGCUGGCUCGCUGAGGCAAGUCACCUUAACUUCAAACAGUCCCAGGCCGUCCACGAAGGCCUGCAACAGCUCCACAAGCUGCGGAAUCCUGUGGCCUGGAGCGAGAACUAUUGAGACAGUGCUUACUGAAUCGGGAAUGAGACCCGGCAUGAAGGCCACAAUGCCAGACCAGUCCUGGCACACAACGUUGCGUCCAAACACGGAGAAAUUCUGGACCGCAUCGCAGAAGUACGGGUCGAGCAAACCAGAGCAACACGCUGCUUCUGAAACAAUCAAAGCGAACUCCAGAUGAAGAAAACAGAAAGACGCGAAGAUACAUACCUUGGAGUGACAACUCCCCGCAAUAGCCAUGGUCAACUCAACUCUAUAGCCCGUAAUUGAGGAUGAUGCCAUGGUAACCAAAGAGGAAAUCCUCGAGAGAGAAAGCAUCAGGCCGCUGAGCUUGCCUGCGGGAUAGCACCGAUUGACGAAGACAUUGACGGCACCAGAAGCUCCAGCGCCGCCGCCGCCUGCCGAUGGAAACACACGGGAUCCUCCAUAGCAGAGAGUCGCCCCCUGGGAAGUCUAUGUUGAAGGGAUUCGAACAAGGGAACCCAAAGUAUAAUGUUUCAAGAAGGAAACAAAGGGAACACUUCAACUUGCCUCAAGAGCGAUGUACUUUUGGCUUGAUUCCGGAGGCGCAGUUGAAGCUGGCCAGCCUUCUCAUUGAAUUUUUUUUCCUGUUUCUGUAGAUACCCACUGAUCCAGCUCUAAUGCAAGCAAAGUUGUUGGUAUGUAUCGCUCUUAAUGUUCUUAGGUCGUGAAUACUUGUUUCAGGUGAUACGUUUGGACGAUUUCGAAAACAACUUCUAAAUCUACGCACCAAAGUAUUUUCUAUGGCAUUUUUGGGUAAAGCCUAUGGCAUUGUGUUCCCUCGGUUCUACACGGCUUACUUUACACAUCCCAGAGAUCAUCACCAUUUUUUUCGAAGGAGACUCAAAUGCAGGUAAGCCAUUAGUACAGAUAAAUUAAUGAUCUUAACAGAUGCCUCCAAACUUACCUGUUCCGGGGAGCAUGAGUAACCUGCAAGCAAAUAUUUCAGAACCAAAGAACAUAAAUACCGGGGAUAAACCACCUUCAUAGCCUUCGAAUGGCCAUCUCGAGAUUUCCAAUAUUUUGUUCUUGCUCUUUUAUUCUCCUUUUAGGAUGCAGCUGGGAUCUUCUCUCCUCUUCUAGCUCAAGCGCCAGUUUCUCCUUGAAAUCGUACUGUAAAUGAAAAAAAGAACCAUUUGCUGCCACGUCAGUAUUAGGGUCACGACCAUUGGAAAGGGAAAAACAAUCCAUCAUCGGAUGUAAGUGAGGACACAGUUUUACCUUAAAGAUGUUCCUUGGGUGUUUUCACUGGUGCAUUCUGAUAACACUCCCUUGCUUCCCUCCUUACUCGAAACUGCUUGUUCACAUGAUCUAGAGCACUUCGUCCAGGAAUUCUUUGUCUCCUUUAUUCUUCUUCACUUCACUUCUUCUUCCCUCUCCAAUGGUCGUGACCCUAAUACUGACAUAUGGCAGCAAAUGGAAUAUUCCCUCGGAACAUGAAGAUACAGGCAACUUUAGAAGGCCAGGCCUACGUCGGAGUAUACACACCCUGUGUAUCGGACGAGACCGAGCUUGUUCUUUUAUAUUGAAGCAUUUGGUACAACAUGAAAUUCUUUACCAACAAAUUGAACUUAAAUCAUAGAUAAGUUUUGAUGGACAUCUGAGGUUUUUGCAAAACCCUUCUUGUACACGAGGCUGCUACAAACCUAUACAUCAUCACCCAUAAUCAGCACCCCCUCUCAUUUUUUUCUUCUUUUUCCUCGCUUCCACCUCUUCAGAGAUGGAUGACUUUUAACGUAGCUUCCCUGUGAUCUUCGCUGAUACUACGACAUAUCCAUGGCUUGCGAGUGAUACUUCUCCAGCUCCGCGUUGAGCUCGUCCACAGACUUUUGCGGCCCCCGGCCAGAGGCACUAGCACCGCCGCGGCCUCGGCCCCGGCCGCGACCUCGGCCUCUUCCACCCCGGCCUGUCGCUCUUCGGACAGCGCCGGCGUUACCAGCUCGGGCACCCGCCACUCCCAUCGCACUGGACAAUCUAAAGCUCAGCGCCCUUUGUCUCGAGAAUUGAAAAACGAAUCGAGUUUGCUCUACCUUGGGAACGCCCUCUGCGGUCGAGGUGCUGGAGCAACGUAGCCAUUUGUGAGCUGAGCGCCACCGCCGAUCAUGUCAAUCACCAUCGGCUUCCCGUCCAGCUGCACGUUGUUAUACUGCUUCAUCGCCACCAGGGCUCGCUCCUUUCUCGCAAAGUAGACCUCGGCUGUACCCUGUGACCACGCAAACACGUCAGGGAUGUCUAAACCAAAAGGAAAGUGAAAAGCAAAAGCCGACCUUUGAGCGUCCAACUUUGUCGUAGUGGAUGGAGCAUUGCUUGAGCUCGCCAAUCUCAGAGAAGAGCUCCUGCCAGUAGAAGUAGAGCGCAGUUCCUCAGUCCCGGAUCAAGAGUGUCGAAUAGAACACGAACCUUGAUGUCGUCGUUCGAGACCCCGCUGUCUAAGUUAGAAACGUAAAGCCGGGCACCUUCGUCUAACUGCUGCCAGAGAGGAGGAACUCCACCACGGUUUAACUGUAGAUACAGUGUUUCCCUCAAUAUAUAAGCAACGCAAAACUUUUUCACGCAAAACGAAGAGAGGACUGACUCAAAUCCAUCAUCCAGCAGAGUGAAACAACUAUCCGGCCAAAGGUAAAUGCAUAUGUAACUGUGCAGUAGAGCUGAAGGAUCGACUCUAAGUAGCAAAGGAAGAAGCGUCGAGGCAGAACUUUUUUUUUUGUCUCGAGUUUGCCCCUUCUAGAUCCAUCCGUCUCAAAUCCUUGACUUGGGUUUUCAGCCAACACUCCAAAACCAAUCCUUUUUUCUGGCUCCCCCCCAAAAGGGUCAUUCCAAAGGCAGCACACACCACGAACGACGAGAAGGGAAGGCAAAAACAAAGGAACCGAAGAAGAAGAAGACUGCUCCCCCUGUCCCAAAAGAACUACACCUAUUCUAACCCCUUGAGAGGGAAAAGAAGAAAGAAGAAUGAAAGCACUGCGUUUGUUUCGGUUUUCUUGCCUUGGUGAUGCCGAACGCGCCGGCGCGGUAUCGCGAGCCCUUGCGGAAGAGCCCCGAAGAUCUUGGACCCAGAAAUGUCCCUGCUGUGCUGCUGCCUCCGCCUCUACCCUGAGCGAUCUUGCCGCCUCUGCCCCUGCCGCGGCGAAGCCUGCUGCUGCCGCCGCCGCGCGACGAAAUCUUGCUCUUCUUCACCAGAGAAUCGAGCGGCAUGUCCAGUGCCUCCAUCUCUCUUCUCGGACUGAAAACCCUAUGGAUCCAAAAAAGCUUUUAAACCCUAACUUGGACAAAGGGGAUCUCACUAUAUAAGGGUAGAUCGUGGGUUCGAUUCCUCUUAUAAUCCAAUCUCUAAGCGUGUCCUUAGAAUCUUCUUCGCUUGAGAUCUUCGUUCUCCUUUCGGAGCUUCAUGAGCUUUUGUUUGAGAGCUCCCACUUGCCAGUUGGAGCUUAAUUCUUGGAUCUGGGCUUCUAGCCUCGUCUUGUCGAACAGCGCUACAAAUCAAAGCGCAUCCAAGUCAGGAGAAAAGAUCGAGAGAAUCGAGCUUACAAUUUUGCUGCUGCUUCUCCAGUUGCUCGCUCAAGCUGUGAUUCGCUUGUUUUGCGGUUUGGAGUUCCAGCUUCAAAGCUGUGAUCUCACACUGGACUGAGAAAGUGGAAAGGACACCUCAAUCCUGGAUUGGAAGAACGUAAACUUACACUCGGUUUGAUCCCUUUUGCGGCGUUCUUCAUGGUUUUGAUUUAGAAUGUCCAUGCUGUCGUGGAGCUGCGCGAUCUCUUGCUCCAGCUGAAUCACACACGACUCUUUUGAGCGAAGCUGCUUUUCCAGGGAGCUGCGGCAAACAAAGUUUGAUCACGAGAUGCAAAACCAGAGAACAUACCUGACACGCGCGUUUAGUUUGGCUUCCAUGGUCUGGAAUUUUUCCUGAAGAGUCGAUACAGCUCGUUCGUGCUCCUAACAUAUGUAUCCCCACAAACGUUUGAAUGUCGCGAGAAUUUAAUCCAGUCGAGAAAAACCUGUUGCAUGGCAUUGUCUUGUUCGCUUCUUAGAUUAACUUCUUGCCACAAGACUUCAAACUUCGACUUGUAAUCCAGCUGCUUUAACAAAACAAAACAAAAAAAAAAAAAACGUUCAAAUCCUCAUCAAAAGAGUCUCGAGACAAAAGAAAGAUCGAGAACUAACAGAAAUCAUCGUACCUGCUGGACAGUCUGUGCCAGAAAUUCCUCCUGCGAUUUCAUCAGUCGAGCCUUGUCUGCCACAAGCAUUUCAAGAGAUCCAGUUCAUUGAGAUGGAAAUUUCGAGAAAAAACUAAAAACGAGAACGAAAGAGGGAUUUCCAGAUAUCUUACCCCCUUCCAGCGACGCGCACAGAUUCUCGGCGGCCUGGCGGCAUUGCGUCUCGGCAGCAAGAAGAGCCCUCAGCGACUCAGCCUCGGAUUUGGCGUCCCUGAAUUCCUGCACGAACAAUCUCUCAAGAACAUCGCUCGAUCGAUCGCAUCGCAUCCAUCCUCUACCUCUUCCAGCGCCGCCAGAUCCCGCGCCAGGACUUCCAUGUCCUCCUCCGAAGGCGGCAGCAUUCUUCCCUACCUAAAUUUGGAGCCAAAAUUUCAAAAACCCUACAAGGGAUUAAAGAACAAGAACCCUAAAUUUUAUGUUAAAGUAAUAAGAACCAUAAAGUUUAAAGGAGCUAUAAACCCUAAGCUUAAAGGUGGUUUUCUAUUAAGAAUUUUACUCCUCUAAAAAGUUCUUUUCUUUAAGAGGAAGGUUAAUUCAAGUCAAUCCCACGCCGCCGGUCCUUGAGUUCAUGGACGAGCCUCGCCAGCCCUUGCUCACACAGCCUAGUUCCUAAUCUCUCCAGUCUCUUCUUCUCUUGGUACCGAUCAAUCUUCUUCUUCACUCCCACCUCGUGUUUUUGCGAGUGAUGCUGCGGCGGCUGCUGCUGCUGUGGCUGCUGCUGCUGCUGCGACUGCGUUUGAUGCUGGUGGUGGUGAUGCUGCUGCUGCUGCUGGUGAUGGCUUCCCGAGGAUUUGCUCGCUCUGCUCCCGUUCGAGUACGCAACGUAUUCCCUGUGCUCCAGAGUGAUGGGCACCGCUUUCUUCCAUAAGUUCUCCAGCGAGCUCGCAGCUCUCGAGCUCGUAGCGUGGCUCGAGUAGUCGUGCCUGUGCCUGUGAUCUGCUUGGUACUCGCUCGGGUAAUGCGCGCGGGCUUCCUCGUCUGGAGAAACGAAAACAAAGCUUAAGAGACUCGAGAACUAUGAAAACAAACGCGAGCGUACCUGGAUCGACGAGGGGUUGGUUUAGAUUUAUGGUGGCUCGCCUUUCAAGCCUGUCGGGCUCUCUUCUGUCGAACCAGGAGCGGGACUUCCAAGGGACGUCGUAGUCGGAUUGAGUGAUCGCUGUUGGCGGCUUGAGGUUGAGCCAGUUGUUGUGAAAAGCACCCGCGUUCUGGAGGUAGUGGAGCGGGGACUGGACGAAGCCUCCGGUGAGACCAAAACUGUAGCCCGGCUGCGAGAUUGCUGCCGGAGGAGGCUUGUUUAGUAUCCGGUCCAACCAGUGCGGAGUAUCGGAAGUGGUGGCCUUGGAUCCGACGAAGGAAGGAACCGACGACGACAUACCGUUUAUAAAGGUGUUCCCGACUUUGUAGUUUUCUGUCCACGAUGUCGAGGAAGUACGCGGCGCCGCCGAAGAAGUUAAGCUCGUCACGACGCCAGAUCCACCAGCAGCACCACCAGCAGCACCUAAAGUUGACGUCCAGUAGUCGAAAACAACCGGCUUCUUCGCGUGCUGCUCCAUGUCGAGGCCGCUUCGAUGGAGGGAAAAUGAAGCAGCCGGAGGUGGCGGCGCAAUCCCGUUCAUUGCCACGCCCCGCAAGCCAUCGAAGCUUGCGUGCGAGGCAUUGAAAGUAUCGCUGGCCGAAACGCUAGACGAAGUUUUGGCGACGAAGAAAUCCGCCCCUGUGCUGAAGCUGUUGUUGUUGGCCGACGUAUACAGCCCUCCAAGUGUCUCGCGGUGCUGCUCCAAGGAGCGAGGAGCAUUGGGGUCACCCAGGGCAGUGGAGGUGGUAGCAGUGUUUACACCCUUCCCUUUCCUCUUCCACCUCGCAGGCGGGAGCCCCGUCUCCAAGUACUUGAAUACCUCGACUUUGGAACGGAAGCGUCUGCCCGAGUACGACUCAAUGUAGUACUGCCAUGGAAGAAAGAACAAAAAAAAAAAAGCUUUAGCACUCCAAGCAAGCUAAAGAGCACGCAAAACAAUGCUACCUUAUCUCUGUGACCAUCGGCUCGCGUCCGACACUCGGAAAUCCAGCCUUCCGGCAACCAGCUCGGGGCUGGAGCUUCGGUGAUUGUUACUGCUAGCGCUGGGCGCUGGUGCUCCAGAUUUCUAUCCUGUUCUUCCUGUUCUUCUAGACUUUCAGCUCUAGGAAGAGAAGUGGUAGUGGUGGUGAGAGUACCAGUGGCCGGGACAGCAUCCUCGUCCGAGGAAGAAGGGACGUGAGCGAUGUUUAAGUCGGGGAUGAGAGCAUCCUGGAAUUCAGUGUUGACGCUACACACGGAGCUCCUCUUCCUGUGCUGCUGCUGCUGCUGCUGCUGCUGCUCUACUACAGUGGCCCGAGAGGAGGAAGAUAUCAUCCCCGAUGGUGAGACGAGGCGCUCGAAUCCAGCAAACCGACAUGAAAUCCGGGGCGAAAUCUAGCAAAUUUCUAGCCUGCUCUGGGAAUCCCGCGGCCGACUAGGUAGGCGCGGGCGGCGCAUUGUGGCGGUACCUGGGGGAAUGCGCCUCAGCGGCGCCGCAUCCACGCCAUGCUCCACCUCGCGUCGCCCUGGAAACCCUAGAUCCCUCCUGCGAUGACUGCCAGUGACCAUGAUCGAGCUGAUGAAUGGGACACUAGAACUGUUGUGGACGGUAAGUAACUAGGAAAGUACCCAGGCCCCCCCAUCACUGACUGACGGAGGAAUAUUCUGUCACACCCUUCCCAUUUGUGUGUGUGUUGGUUGUUGUUGGAACCGGAACCUGGAUGAAUGGAUAGAAUUUUAUAUUGAAUUGAUCUAAACUGUCCAAAACAUAAUUUAACUUAAUUAAGAUUAAGGUUACGUUUUAGUGAAUAUAUUUAUUUAUUUAUGUGAAUGAAUGGAAUAUUUAAUUAGAGUAAUCCCAUCACACUAAUAUUAAUAUACAACAUUGUAAUUAUACAUAUAGACUUUCCUUGGAAAGAUGGAAGGAGUUAGGGUUCUCUAAUUAAUGGGUGGGGAUCUAAAAAAAUAUUAGAGAAGGCAUUAGGUAGUGCUAUUUUUCUUAAUCCUUUUAUAUAAAGUGUUUUAAUUGUUACAUAUGCAUAAUUUUUGGAGAAUCGACUUGUUAAAUAUCAAUGUUAAAUCUUAUAAACUUGUAGUCCAACUUGCCAUAACACUUAAUAUAGUUUUUUCUAUUGAACAAAGAACUCUUUAAAUAAACUCUAUAACAUAAAAUUGAGAAAAUAAGCUAAUAUCAAGUCAUUCACUUUGUACUCUGCUAGUGAAUGAUGAUGAAAGUUAUAGCACCAUUGUUAUACCAUUUAUCCAUAACUCAAGUGUUUAACAAACUCCUUUAGAUUAGUGGAGGAAUGUUUGUCAAAUAUUAAUCCUAGGACCUAACAUUGGUAUCAUGUGGCAUCGAUAGCAUAUGGUAAUCAUGAAAGUAAACUUAACUCCACUAGAUUAUUACUAUAUAAAAAUUUAUAUAGUGAAGAAAACUUCACAAUUAUCCCUUUAAAGAUCUAAAAACAUGAAAUGCCUUAAUUAUAAACUAGAUUGCUAAAGCAAACUUAAUCUCAAUAUAUAAUGUGAUUCUCCCUUAGCCAAUGAGUGUGAACUAUACUUGAGUUCAUGAGUUGAAGAGUUGAGUUCACAAGUUGAGCUCAAUUUUCAAUUAUAAUUUAGUACAAACAUUAUAAACUUUAAAAUAUUAAGAUUAUGGCAAACCUAAUAAUUUCACAAAUCUUUAUAUAUUAUAUAGAUAAAAAUAUUCUAAAGAACACUUCUUAUUCUAAUAAUUUAAAUAUUUACUAUAUGCCAUAAUAGAGAUAUUUGUUAGAACAUAAAAUAAAAUGUUUACAUAAAGAGUAUUCUUGUCACUUCUUUAAAUUUGUACUUAAUAAAUGUCAGGUUUGUCAAAAUUUAAAAAUUAUUAAACCUUAAUUAAGAUUCUAUAUAAAGCCAUAUAAUUGUUUGAAAGGAAAAGAAAACAAUCAUUAAUAUAAGCUUGUUGCAUAUAAAAGAAAAAUUUGAUUUUUUUUAAACUAAAUUUUUGAGGGGUUUAUCAUAGCAUACUAUUUGGAAUUUAUGGAUCUUCACUCACACUUUUAUUCAAAGAAAUGGAAAUACACAUAAAUGUCUAUGAGUUUUAGUGUUGGUAAUUUUAACUUUUGCAAUCUUUCUUCCUAUGGUUCAAGGGCUAGUACAUGCAAUAACUAUCCCAUUACACAAUAUAACUAAACCACACAAAAGAAAGAAAAAGAGGAUAAUAAAGAUAAUGAUUAUGAGUUGGAGAUAAAUGCAAUGAUAGAGGGUGCUACAAAUUGGGUGAAAAAGAAUGCUUUCUUACUUGUUUUAGAAAAUUAUAAUUCCAUGACUUUCAAGAAAUGCCCUAUAUAUAAUUUGGCUUUUAGUGGAAAUAAUAGUGAGGAUAAAUAUGAUGGUAUAUAUGCUUUUGCGACACAUUACAACAUCAUGCACCUAAAAAAAUAUCAUGAAAUAUUUUUUGAUGUUUCUAUUGAUUAUAUAAAGUAUAAUAAAUUUAUAUUAUUGAUAGAGAAAUUCUUAGAAAAUUUAGUUAGCUCUAAAAGUUUUCUGCAAUUCAAUAAUAAUAAGGCUUGUUUGGUGUAUAUGAAUAUUCAUUUUAGAAUCCCGAUGCAAGAUGUUAAUGAAGAUGUAGUAUAUAUGUUUACAAAGAGCAUAUGCCUUCCUAUGUUCUUCAUACUUCAUAAAGUCUGGAUAUGUGUAAAAAGGAAAGUUUUGAAUGGCAAUUGUGUACUCUUCACCAUCUAUUUUGACUAUAUACUUAUUUGCAAGUGUAGUGAUGUACUUUGUGGAGAGAAUCUCACAGUCAAGUGUUUGAGCCAAGCUUAUUUUACCUUACUUUUACUUGGAGACGGUACCAAUAAAUUUAAUUGCCUUACCUUUUCUUUCUGGCCUUUUGUGCAUCUCUGUGAGAAUAGUCUUAGUUCUGUCACUUAUGUCUUCAACUUUUCUCUCAAGAUUAAAACUAGAUUUCUCAAGGUUUUCAAUCUCAUUUAAGGUGAGUGCAACCCCAUUAGCAAUUGCCUAUUCUGUAGAUACUACAUCAAGUUUAGUAGUGUCUUCAAGCCAUUUUGUAUGGUUGGCAUCAAUGUUGCAAUAAUAUAAUUAGUACCAUCUUGAAAAUCUUGCUUGCUUUCGUUCCCUAUAGAAAUAUGGGGUUGGAAUAGAAGUUGACUUGUCACCAUAGAUCUAGGCUCAACAUUUGCUUAUCGGAAGCAUCCCCACACACCUUAUAUUUGAUUUUGCUAGCACUUGAUGGAUUACACAUUGCUUCGGCUCUACGCUACAAUAAACAAUUUCAACUUAUUGUGAUGAAUUUUCUUCAUCAACAACUUGAGGUAGCUCGGUCUAAAGGCAUUUAAGCAACUAAAGGGAACGAUUCGAAAGAUGAUUUAUAAGGGUUUAAAUAUAAAGGGAAAAAGCGCAUGAAUAAAAGUCCACUUUUUUUUCCAAUUGGUUAAGGGUCUUGGGAUAUUUCGGGUUAAGUGUCCUUGGGUUUAAAUAGUAUUGGGUUGGGUGAUCUCCCAGGAAGUCCAAAUUCAGAAGCUUACAUUUGGUAUCAGAGAGGUCUUGGGUUCGACUCUGUUAGUUGGCUAGGGGAAUCAUAUCAUAUGUUGAUUGACAUUUAGCUAGUCUAGUUUACUCUGGCUUGGCUCGAUCUAAGGGGUUGGGUGUCAAGAGAGCAAGGCUUUCAGGAGAGCUAUAGCUCUUAGCUUCCGUUCUAUUAUUUGGGGUUAAGAGUCCUUAGGUUUGAAUAGUAUUGGGCUAGGUGAGUUCUUGGGAAGUCUAAAUUCAUGAGUUUAUACGGCAGUAUUUUAGAGCAGAAUGGUAUUUAACAUUAGGCUUAUGAGAGCUUUUUGCUCCAAGGUCCGUAUCAACUUCUUCACUAGCAAAGGAAAAUGAUGCUUUGAGUUGUCGCGAAUGUGACUUUAGGUAUCGAAAGAUACUUGUCGGCCAGUCCUUAUGGACACUCUUUCCUUACUGCCAUGAUGGCAGGAGGUCGAUACAAUUGGAUCUCUUUAGUAGCCCCUCUUGUGCUAGUGGAGUUAAUUGGGCAUUUCAAGUGUACUUAGACUAGAUGAGCAUAAGGACGGAAUUCUUACGUGCUAUUAUCUAAGCAUACUUAGCCUGGUAAGGAUUUCUCGUCUUGUUUUGUCUUGCACUUGCUAGUGACAAGAACCCUCACGUAUUGAGACUAGUCCCUCAAUAUCGCUAGAUGAUAGCUUACCGUGUCUGCCAAACACCCUUGCUAUCACGCCCUUUGUAUUAAUCUCAUUUCGGUCCCAAAUGCUAUUUAUGGAAAGUGUCUAGAUUAGCUCAUUUGGCAUAUCUACGGAAUGUAGAGAUCAGCCCGAACACAAUAGUGUUCGUCCCGUGUCCAAAUUUGCAAUUUAACGCCAUUUUAUAUUUAGUAAGUUUUGAGCUUGUCCUAGAGACAAACUCCUGAUGUGUUCCUCAGGGGGGGGGGGUUGUGGGGGAUUUCAAAUGUAUAGUAGGGAUAGUGGUUGGAAUGCAUGUUUAACCACCACUUGAGAUAUUAGUUUGGCUCCUGUUAAGCUGUGUCACUCUUUGUUCUACAUUCGGCUUGGGUCUAAGCCCAAGCUCCACGCUGCUCUAGUUGGUGGGGUACCCUCCUCUUCGCGUUAGGCCACUGAUAUAUCAAAAUUGUGCCAGACUCCAUCUGACACCAUUUUGCGUGCAAGUGCUGGAUACAGGGAGCUAGUGCUCGUGGGAUUGUACCGGACCCUCGUUUCAUAGCGCAACGAGCUUGGAGUUCGGCUCUAAAUUUAGGUGCACUAUAGAGUGGACAGUCUUUAUGUCACCAAUAAAAGCUCGAGGAGUGUAUUUCAUAGAUGUGCCAUGGACCAUCCUCUACUGCAUUUGCUAUUAUUUGUGCUAAUGGAGUCAUCUUUUUUUUCAUCCGAUCAUGUAGCAUCUCAAUCGAAAGUUAUGUAUCUUCCUUCCUCAAAUGCCAAGGCUUUUGAAGACUACUCUAUAACAUGUCUCAAAUUUAAUAGACUUGCUUCGUAUAGACUCAUCUUCCCUUUCCUUGCCUCAGAGAAAUAAUUUUAAUUGUUGUGAAUGUGACUUCGGGUAUUGAAAGCUACCUGUCGGCUAGUCCUUUUGGAUAUUCUUUCCUUACUACCACGACGGCAGAAGGUUGGUAUUGCUGGACCCGUUAUUAUUUCCCACUUGAGCUAGUUGAGAAACUGAUCAUUGACCGUGUACUUAAAUCGGAUAAACAUAAGGUAGGAACUCUAUAUGUUUUUUGCUAAUGUAGUGCACGUUUUUUUGACCCUUUAUCUUAUGGUGAUUUACCAUAGGAUAACACCACGAAGCGGAACCUAAACCCUCUUUGUGCCACGUGACAGAUGCCAUAUGUCACAUGCCACGUGUCCAAAGGAACGUGGUGUGGAACUCGAGGUUUAGAACCUUGGGCCACUAAACGAAGGAACGGUGCCAAACUCCCAAGCAUGGAGCCAAAGAGUGAUGGAACUAGUCCACGGAGCAACUCUUAAACAUACAGCCCAAGGAGCGAAGGGACAGGAGCCCGGAGCGACUUGAAACUGUCUUAGAGCAACCAACAUCCCAAUGUCAGGACUAGCACGCAAAACGGAGCCAAACGGAGUUUGGUGCUAUUUCGGCAUACUGUAUUUCGGCAUACCGCAUUUCGGCUCUAGGACUGUUCCAAGUUGCUUCGGGCUCCUGUCCCUUCGCUCCUUGGGUUGUAUGCUCGGGAGUUGCUCCGUGAUACAGUUCCAUCACUCCUUGGCUCCAUGCCUAGGAGUUUGGCACCGUUCCUUUGUUCAGUGGCCCAAGGCCCUAAACCUCAGGUUCCGCACCACUGUCCUUUGGACACGUGGCAUAUGACACAUGGCAUGUGUCACGUGGCAUAAAAAGGGUUUAGGUUUCGCUUCAUGGUGUUAUCCUAUGGUAAAUCACCAUAGGAUAAAGGGUCAAAACCACGUGCACUACAUUUGGUAUCAGAGAAUGAGUCUCAGCGAUACUAUCCAAUGAAAUUGGGCAACUAGUCUUGUUGCAUACGCAGAAAUGAAAAUGAUGAUCCGAGUGGGUACACGUUUAGGUGCAAAGGCUUUGCAAUUGGUUCCUUGGGUAUGGAUAUUGUUGCCUUGUUGUACCUUAUGAUGUGAGCUUGCGCUUGGGCUCAUAGGAUGGAUUGGAGAUGUUCCGUUUACACAAGUUUGAGCUUGGGCUCGUGAGUGAGGCACAUUAGCAACUCGAAGUUACACUUUGAGUUGGCAAGAUUAAUAUUAGCCUACUGUUGGUUCCAUGAGUUUUUCCAAUGGUUUCGUAAGUUGUUCCAUGUAUUGUGGGUGAAAGAAAACCUUCCCUGGGUUUGCUAUGAGUGGUAAAUAGGCUGGUCCGUAGCUAUUUAGCACGGCACUAGUGGAUCCUUCCUAGGCAAGACUACAAGUGGAUCAAUCAAGAUUAUAGGGAUUAGUCUAUUAAUUCAAGUAGUCAUUGCUAUGCUCUCUCAUAAACUUUUCUUGGAUUGGAUUGAAGGCAGUGCAAAUGCAUGAGGUUUAGUCAAAGAUGAGACCAAAAAGAGAGUCAUCAGGGACGAAGGAUCAAACACUUAAAUCAUUUUCUCUUGGAGAGAUGAUUUGUAACAAGGUAUUAACUCAUUGCUCAUGUUCAUAUUAUGCAAUCAAGAGUCCCUACCUUGAUGCAUGUUGGAGAUGAUGGUCUUACAAAUGGUGAGUUGUAGGAUGGAUAGCGGUGAAGCGCUAUACCAUUUUUAUCUAAGCUUGUUAUUGGAAAACUUGGGUUGCAAUGCUCAAUUCUUUUCCAAGGAAACUUGCUAUUGCUCCUUGAGUAGUUUGAUGUUGGAUUAGUUUUGAGUUUGGUCAGAAAGAGAGUGGCAUGAACUUGUCUAUGUUGUGAACAAAAAGUUAGUGGUGUUGGGUGUUCUAAAUCUCUAUUGGUGGAGUGUGGCAUUUAUGUUGCAUUUUGUCGAAUUGAGUUUGCACUUGAUACUCACAUAAACAUUUGAAGUAAUGACAUAGACAUCACUCGUGGUGUUGCUCAAUUGAUGAUCAAGUCAUUGUGAUUUCUAUAUCAUAUCUAUGUGAUAGUGAGCAAUGUGUUUAUGAAGUUGUUUGGUUAAACGCUGAUCAAACCCAAAGUGGUUGAUGAAGAAGCUAGUUUAUUUGCACAAAGUAGCAUUGUAGUAGCUUUGACUGGAUUCUCGAUGGUAGUCCAUUAUGCUAAGUUUAAGUUGGUUCCUUAUUUCCUUGAGGAUUUGCCCAUGAGGUGUUGUAAAAAGGUUAUAGCAUUAACUUGCUAUGGCUUGAUGGUUUAUUCGUUAGCACUUGGAGUAGAUUAUUAGACGGAGAAAGUGUGUAGUUGAGGCAUUGACAUCGCUAGCACUUGUGUUAGUGGAAGUGGCAUUGUUAUUCCGAGUGAUGAGGAAUUUUCCUUAAAAGUUGAUUUUCCAUAUCAUUUUUCUUGUUAGUGUUUUGGCUUCAUAUUUGAUCUUGAAGGUGAUUGAAGAAGAGUGUUAGUGCAAUAUGGAUAUCUGAAGAUAUGGUCUUCGUGAUCAAGCUUUAGAUAUUCACUUUGCAUUUUUGCGGAUGUCGGAGUUGGAUGUCGGAAGUAUGGGCAAAAGAUGUUCGAGGCUUAAGCAUACUAUAGGUCAUGAGAAUUUGUGUUGAGGUGAACUUAUGUGAAGUUGUUAGUAGGAGGAAAUUGGUUGAGUCUUGGAAGUUUGUAUUCCUAGACCGAGAGUCAUUCUUUCUCUAGGAUUGGAAAAUUUUCCUCAAAUUUUCUUAGACUUUUCUAAUGGCUGAUUUGUUGGUCACUUUGCUUGAAAACCAUUUCGUUUUCGUAAGUCAUUAUAAACUAGUGAAAGGGGUUGGAGUUGACUUCGGUUGGCUUAGACCUUAGUAGGUAGUUUGUAUGAUGCGGCCCGAAAGGGAUGCUGACUUUUGAAGCUAAAGCAAUUGAGUUGGAUAGAGUUUGGAGUUAGUGUAAAAAAGUGAGCUCUAUGAGAGUAGUGAACUCUCACUGAUCUUGACUUUGUCAUGGUAGCCCUGCUCCUUGGCUGAGGAUGGUGAUGUCUAACUUAGUUGUUUAAGGUUAAGAUGUUGGUACCAGUACUAUAGCUUUGUGUAUGAGGAAGUUGUGUACCGAUAUGAGUUCAUCUCAUGGUCUUCACUUUAGUUUCAACUGAGUGUUGAUUAUGUAUAGCUAGCCUCUUUAAGGCAUGCUCAGAGCUAGUGGCUAAAUGCAUUGGUGAGCUUAUCGCGGUUGAGUUGGAUUCGAGUGGUCAUUUAGUUUAUGCUUGUUCAUGAAUCCUUAUCUCGACCUGGGGUAUUACAUUCAUGUUGGACAAGUAUAUGACUGGAUAGCAUGAGUUUAGUGUUGGGUCUUGUGAAGGCAAGUUGACAAGUGAUUGUUGGUUGCUUUGCAACUAGUGAUUACUUGUAGACUUUGUCAAGGGAUUUUGACACUUGUUUCACUCGAUGAUGAUUUAGUAGUGAUGGGUUUGUUUUACCGAAUGGUGUUGCAGAGAAUUGUGUUGUUAGACUUACAUGGGUUUUCCAUGUUGGCAUAUCAACUUUACCUCUGUCGAUAUCAUUUGGUUGCGUUUAGUUCAUAGUGUUGGAUUUCAUUGAGUCUUGGAAGUGGUGAAUCACUCCUUGAUGAUGUGUUAUCUGUAACUGAGUUUUGCUGAAGGAUUGGUCUCGGAUACUAAGUAUAGUAUCUUCAACUUUGGUUAGCUUAGUUUUUGGAGAGCUUUGAGUGGUGAUUCACUUUUGUUUUCUUCUAGCUUUGUUAUAGUGUUGAUGGCAUUGAAGUGAUGCCUUGUCAUUGAUGUUAUUGAUGUUGAAAUUCAGGUGAGAUGAAAUGUCUAUCCUUAAGAUUGAUAUUGAGUUUCAUUAGUCUCAAUAGAGAUAGUGUUGAUGAUUUGGUUGUAGCUUUGUGUUAUUAACAUUCGCGCAUUUGCUAGUUAGCAACUCUGUUGACAUUCAAAUGAACUGAGUGGCUAGUUUGAGUUAGUUGUGUUCUAGAUGAGAUUAUUUAGUAAAGGUUGAGCUUUGGCUUUUCCUUGAAAAGUGAUUCAGUCGUGGACUAUGCUAAGUCUACAAAGUGGAAAAGUUAGUGAUCGAUAUUAGAAUGUUUGAAUCCUUAUGGGAUUUUAGUUAGAAUAUAUCAAUCAUUGAUAAUUCUUCUUGAGCUUGUUAUAAAGUGGGUUACGUCAACUAUAGAUGGAUUCAUGAAGGAUCGUUUAGUGAUCACUUGUUGAGCAUAACUUAGUGGCUAUUUUAUCCCCAUUUAUCCCCCAAGGUUUCAAGGAUCCACGGUGACAGUAUAUCUAAAUCUCAUCCCAUGAUCACAUGCGCUACACUCACCCUCCCUUUAGAGAUGUCAAUGUCCUUAUUGACUAUUGAUUAACAACCCCUACUGAGCCAAGGUGAAUUUCGAUACCCGAAGUCACAUUCACGACACUCUCCCCCCUUAGGGAAGAUCGACAUCCUCGUCGAUGCACACUCCAGUCUAGAAUACCGCCAAGGAAACAACUCCAGAAAAAGUUCACAGUACUCGCACUAUGUGAGAAAUGCAUCAACUUAAAUGAGUUAGGAGGCAACCUCUAUGUCUAAUGCGGAUGUGCUACCAGCUCAGACUCCUUCCGGCUGUCGUCGACAAGGAAAUGACCAACGGAGUCAGCCACCCUUGCUGCUCUGGGAGUCACCCAACUUACAAAAGUGUGAUAUGCCCCUGCCCGUAGGGACAUAGAGAGAGAAGCUAGAGGCCCCAACCCUUCUAAGCAAAGAAACCAAACCCGUCGGUAAGGUUUAGAUAGACUACUAUAAACAGGCAAUUAGAGUUGUUUACACGGUCAUGCCCUUUUAACGGAAUAAGGAACAUCGACAGAGAGGCGGGUGAUGUGACCAGUCGACAGUAGCUACCCCAUAACUAGAGAUUUCACCAUACACACGAAGUGCCGAAGCCAGUCUGCCUAUAUUGGCCCAAAGUUCAAACCCUAAUAGAUGGACAAUAUCAAAGUCAUAGACAAUGAUAUCUUAGAGAUUGUAUUAUCAGUGAUUAAAUCUUAUAUUAGAACAUAAUAGUAUUCCAAGUAAGUUAUCAUCCGAUAAACUAGUAUUAUAGUAUAAGAACCACCAAGAUCAUCAUAAUUGGUAGGCAUAGGAUCACCAUCCAACAAAAUUCAAUAGCAAGUAUGUCAUCAAGGAAACUCAAUGAUGAAACUUAACUACUGAAGAGAGCAGACAGUAAACCAACAACUUACUAAAGAUAACUCAAAGAACACAAAGUAUCAUUGACUGACAAACACAAUGCUCGCGAAUGUAUCACCUGAAGGAAAUAACAUCCCAACCUAUCAGAACUAACUUGAGCAAUAAUCAACAUAACAGAAUGAAUGCAGCAAGACCAACAAACACUCAUUCAUGUCAACUAUCACAUUAGUCAAUCCGAAUAGAUCCCGGUCAACAAUACUAAGGAACCAGAGUUGCUCAAGCAAGUGUUAGCAACAUCCUACUGAUGUCUCAAACUUAAGAGACCAAUUCAAAGCAAACCACAAAGAACAUGUGGUUUUGCGAAAAGCCAUAAGCUAUCAAAGAGAACAACUAGCCAUCAUGAAAGAUCAUCAAUCAUCCUAUCAAUAAAGAGAUGCUGAAUUAUCGUUGAAGAAAGAAUCUACCAUCCCGAAGAACAGUGAAUCAUUCUAUAUCAACAAUAACCAAGCAACACCUUUGACAAGGAUAAUCACUAUCUUAGACGACAAUCAAUCAUUAUUAAUAAUUGCCAGAUGCAAGAGCCAACUUCAACAUCGAAGCUAACAAGCCAAAAUGCCUUCUCUAACAACUCUUAAUAAAUGGAACAAUGAGCAUAAAACUCAAAGAACCAAAAGCUUGAAAAAGCCUAUAGCUAAGUCUUGCCAAAUAAUGAUCACAAGCCUUGCAUGAACUAACUUCAAUGCCAAAGAAGAAAUUAUGGUGCAACCCACAAUAUCUUCCUCAACACAUCCAUAAGCUAGACUUCAUAAUGCCAAAGCUAAUGAAGAGUAUAUCUACAUCAAUCCAAAAGCUAAACACCAUGGAGUUAUGCUUAACAAGUGAUCAUUAAAUGGUCCUCCAUGAAUCCAUCUAUAAUCGACGUAACUCACUUCAUAACAAACUCAAGAAGAAUUAUCAAUGAUCGAUAUAUUCCAACUAAAAUCCCAUAAGGAUUCAAACAUUCUAAUAUCGAUCACUAACUCUUCCACUUUGUAGACUUAGCAUAGUCCACGACUGAAUCACUUUUCAAGGAAAAGCCAAAGCUCAACCUUUACUAAAUAAUCUCAUCUAGAACACAACUAACUUAAACUUGCCACUCAGUUCAUUUGAAUGUCAACAGAGUUGCUAACUAGCAAAUGCGCGAAUGUUAAUAACACAAAGCUACAACCAAAUCAUCAACACUAUCUCUAUUAAGACUAAUGAAACUCAAUAUCAAUCUUAAGGAUAGACAUUUCAUCUCACCUAAAUUUCAACAUCAAUAACAUCAAUAACAAGGCAUCACUUCAAUGCUAUCAACACUAUAAUAAAGCUAAAAGAAAACAAAAGUGAAUCACCACUCAAAGCUCUCCAAAAACUAAGCUAACCAAAGUUGAAGAUACUAUACUUAGUAUCCGAAACCAAUCCUUCAGCAAAACUCAGUUACAGAUAACACAUCAUCAAGGAGUGAUUCACCACUUCCAAGACUCAAUGAAAUCCAACACUAUGAACUAAACGCAACCAAAUGAUAUCGACAGAGGUAAAGUUGAUAUGCCAACAUGGAAAACCCAUGUAAGUCUAACAACACAAUUCUCUGCAACACCAUUCGGUAAAACAAACCCAUCACUACUAAAUCAUCAUCAAGUGAAACAAGUGUCAAAAUCCCUUGACAAAGUCUACAAGCAAUCACUAGUUGCAAAGCAACCAACAAUCACUUGUCAACUUGCCUUCACAAAACCCAACACUAAACUCAUGCCAUCCAGUCAUAUACUUGUCCAACAUGAAUGUAAUACCCCAGGUCGAGAUAAGGAUUCAUGAACAAGCACAAACUAAAUGACCACUCGAAUCCAACUCAACUGCGAUAAGCUCACCAAUGCAUUUAGCCACUAGCUCUGAGCAUGCCUUAAAGAGGCUAGCUAUACAUGAUCAACACUUAGUCGAAACUAAAGUGAAGACCAUGAGAUGAACUCAUAUCGGUACACAACCUUCUCAUACACAAAGCUAUAGUACUGGUACUAACAUCUUAACCUUAAACAACUAAAUUAGACAUCACCAUCCUCAACCAAGGAGCAGGGCUACCAUGACAAAGUCAAGAUCAGUGAGAGUUCACUACUCUCAUAGAGCUCACUUUUCUACACUAACUCCAAACUCUAUCCAACUCAAUUGCUUUAGCUUCAAAAGUUAGCAUCCCUUUCGGGCCGCAUCAUACAAACUACCUACUAAGGUCUAAGCCAACCGAAGUCAACUCCAACCCCCUUCACUAGUUUAUAAUGACUUACGAAAACGAAAUGGUUUUCAAGCAAAGUGACCAACAAAUCAGCCAUUAAAAAAGUCUAAGAAAAUUUGAGGAAAAUUUUCCAAUCCUAGAGAAAGAAUGACUUUCGGUCUAGGAAUACAAACUUCCAAGACUCAACCAAUUUCCUCCUACUAACAACUUCACAUAAGUUCACCUCAACAUAAAUUCUCAUGACCCAUAGUAUGCUUAAGCCUUGAACAUCUUUUGCCUAUACUUCCGACAUCCAACUCCGACAUCCACAAAAAUGUAAAGUGAAUAUCUAAAGCUUUAUCAUGAAGACCACAUCUUCAGAUAUCCAUAUUGCACUAACACUCUUCUUCAAUCACCUUCAAGAUCAAAUAUGAAGCCAAAACACUAACAAGAAAAAUGAUAUAGAAAAUUAAGUUCUAAGGAAAAUUCCUCAUCACUUGGAAUAAUAAUGCCACUUCCACUAACACAAGUGCUAGUGAUGUCAAUGCCUCAAUUACACACUUUCUCCGUCUAAUAAUCUACUCCAAGUGCUAAAAGAUAAACCAUCAAGACAUAGCAAGUUAAUGCUAUAACCUUUUUACAACACUUUAUGGGCAAAUCCUUAAGGAAAUAAGGAACCAACUUAAACUUAGCAUAAUGGACUACCAUCAAGAAUCCAGUCAAAGCUAUUACAAUGCUACUUUGUGCAAGUAAACUAGCUUCUCCAUCAACCACUUUGGGUUUGAUCAUCGUUUAACCAAGCAACUUCAUAAACAGAUUGCUCACUAUCACAUAGACAUGAUAUAGAAAUCACAAUGACUUGAUCAUCAAUUGAGUAACACCACGAGUGAUGUCUAUGUCAUUACUUCAAAGGUUUAUAUGAGUAUCAAGUGCAAACUCAAUUCGACAAAAUGCAACAUAAAUGCCACACUCCACCAAUAGAGAUUUAGAACACCCAACACCACUAACUUUUUGUUCACAACAUGGACAAGCUCAUGCCACUCUCUUUCCGACCAAACUCAAAACUAAUCCAACACCAAACUACUCAAGGAGCAAUAGCAAGGUUCAUCGGAAAAGAAUUGAGCAUUGCAACCCAAGUUUUCCAAUAGCAAGCUUAGACAAAAAUGGUAUAGCGCUUCACCGCUAUCCAUCCUACAGCUUACCAUUUGUAAGACCAUCAUCUCCAACAUGCAUCAAGGUAGGGACUCUUGAUUGCAUAAUAUGAACAUAAGCAAUGAGUUAAUACCUCGUUACAAAUCAUCUCUCCAAGAGAAAAUGAUUUACGUGUUUGAUCCUUCGUCCUUGAUGACUCUUUUUUCGGUCUCAUCUUUGACUAAACCUCAAGCUUGUGUUCGCACUGCCUUCAGUCCAAUCCAAGAAAAGUUUAUGAGAGAGCACAACAAUGACUACUUGAAUUAAUAGACUAAUCUCUACAAUCUUGAUUGAUCCACUUAUAGUCUUGCCUAGGAAGGAUCCACUAGUGCCGUGUUAAAUAGCUAUGGACCAGCCUAUUUACCACUCAUAGCAAACCCAGGGAAGGUUUUCUUUCACCCACGGUACAUGGAACAACUUACGAAACCAUUGGAAAAACUCAUGGAACCAACAGUAGGCUAAUAUUAAUCUUGCCAACUCAAAGUGUAACCUCGAGUUGCUAAUGUGCCUCACUCACGAGCCCAAGCUCAAACUCGUGCAAACGGAACAUCUCCAAUCCAUCCUAUGAGCCCGAACGCAAGCUCACAUCAUAAGGUAUAACAAGGCAACAAUAUCCAUACCCAAGGAACCAAUUAUAAAGCCUUUGCACCCAAACGUGUACCCACUCGGAUCAUUGUUUUCAUCUCUGCGUAUGCAACAAGACUAGUUGCCCAAUCUCAUUGGAUAGUAUUGCUGAGACUCAUUCUCUGAUACCAAAUGUAGCGCACAUGGUUUUGACCCUUUAUCCUAUGGUGAUUUACCAUAGGAUAACACCACGAAGUGGAACCUAAACCCUCUUUAUGCCACGUGAUACAUGCCACGUGUCAUAUGCCACGUGUCCAAAGGCUUUCACCCCAAGCCUCCUUUAAUAUCAAGAGUUAUUCUCUGGGACAAGCUCAAAACUUACUAAAUAUGGAAUGUCCUUAGAUUGCGAAUUUGGACAUGGGAUGAACACUAUUGUGUUCAGGAUAAUCUCUACAUUCCGUAGAUAUGCCAAAUGAGCUAAACUCAAGUAGGGAUAGUGGGUAGGUUGGGCAUGGCUGACCAACUUGAGGCAUAGUCUAGCUCCUGCUUGCGUGCCUGUCCUUGUUCUACGUCUGGCUUUGGUCUAAGCCCAAGUUCCAUUCCAUGCUAGCUGGUGGAGUACCCAUGUCCUCGUGUUAGGCCAUCGGUAUGCCGAAAUAGCGCCAGACUCCGUUUGGCUCCAUUUUGCAUGUUGGUCUUGGCAUUGGGAUGUUGGUCACUCUAGGACUGUUCCAAGUUGCUCCAGGCUCUUGUCCCUUCGCUCCUUGGACUGUAUGCUCGGGAGUUGCUCCGUGAUACGGUUCCAUCACUCCUUGGCUUGGGUCUAAGCCCAAGUUCCAUUCCAUGCUAGCUGGUGGAGUACCUAUGGCCGGUACUCCACCAGUACUGGUGGCCUAGUUUAGGGUUUAGGGUUUAGGGUUUAGAGAUUGUCCUGAACACAAUGGUGUUCGUCCCGUGUCCAAAUUCGCAAUCUAAGGACAUUCCAUAUUUAGUAAGUUUUGAGCUUGUCAUAGAGACUAACUCCUGAUACUAAGGGAGGCUUGGGGUGAAAGCCUCCCUUAGUAUCAGGAGUUAUUCUCUGGAACAAGCUCAAAAUUUACUAAAUAUGGAAUGUCCUUAGAUUGCGAAUUUGGACAUGGGACAAACACUAUUGUGUUCAAGACAAUCUCUACAUUCCGUAGAUAUGCCAAAUGAGCAAAUCUAGACAUUUUCCAUAAAUAGCAUUUGGGACCGAAAUGAGACUAACACAAAGGGCAUGAUAGCGAGGGUGUUUGGUAGACACGGUAAACUAUCAUCUAGCAAUAUUGAGGGACCAAUCUCAAUAUCGCGGGGGUUCCCAACACUAGCAAGUGCAAGUCAACGAAUGAGUUUCUCUAACCAGGUCAAGUAUGCUUGACAAAUAACAUGUAGGAAUUCCGUCCUUAUGCUCAUCUGGUCAAGUGCACACGCGAUGACCAAUUUUUCAACUAGCUUGAGUGGAGACCAAAAAAGGGACUAGCAAUACCGACUUCUUGCCAUCGUGACAGUAAAGUAAGAGUGUCCGUAAGGACUGGUUGACAGGUAACUUUUGAUACCCAAAGUCACAUUCACGACACUAUAGCACACCUUAUCUCUCUCCCCUUAAGUCAACUAGAAAAGGGGUAAUUGCUUAAUGAGAGAGCCCUUAGUGGCUAUUUUAUCUCUAUUUAUCCCCCAAAGUUCCAAGGAUCCACGGUGAUAGUAUAUCUAAAUCUCAUCCCAUGAUCACAUGUGCUACACUCACCCCCCCUUUAAAGAUGUCAAUGUCCUGAUUGACUAUUGACUAACAACCCUUAUUGAGCCAAGGGGAACCAUUAGAGAUGUCAAUGUCCUGAUUGACUAUUGACUAACAACCUUUAUUGAGCCAAGGGGAACCAGCACCUCCAUUUCCGCACUCAAUCUACCAAUCCUUCCAUUGUGUAGAUUAGCUAUUCCAUAUGAGGCAAUUAGUCAUCCACCCGUACUACAGUCCCACGGUGGAUACUUUCGUCCGUGGAUACUCCACACAAGAGGAAGGACGUACGUAUGAAUGCCUAAUACGUACGAUUUCAAAUUUAGGGGUAGGAAUAUACCUUGCUCAAGGGUAGUAGCCACUAAUCAAUGGGAAUCAAACCCGUGCCAUUUGCUUUGAUACCAACUGUAGCGCACCUUAUCUCUCUCCUCUUAAGCCAACUAGAAAAGGGGCAAUUGCUUGAUGAGAGAGCCUUUAGUGGCUAUUUUAUCUCUAUCUAUCUCCCAAGGUUCCAAGGAUCCACGGUGAUAAUAUAUCCAAAUCUCAUCCCAUGAUCACAUAUGCUACAGUAUUAGUCUCAUUCCGGUCCCAAAUGCUACUUAUGGAAAGUGUCUAGAUAUGCUCAUUUGGCAUAUCUACGGAAUGUAGAAAUUGAUUUGGACACAAUGGUGUUUGUCUCGUGUCCAAAUUCACAUUUUAGCAUCAUUCUAUAUUUAGUAAGUUUUGAACUUGUCCUAGAGACUAACUCCUGAUACUAAGGGAGGCUUGGGGUGAAAGCCCAAAGUGUGUGUUCCUCAAAGGGGGGGGGGGGGGGGGCUGUGCCUGUAGGGGGUUCCAAAUGUAUAGUAGGGAUAGUGGGUAGGUCGGGCAUGCUGACCAACCUGAACCAACUUGAACCAACCUAAGGCAUAGUUUAGCUUCUACUCGCGUGCCUGUCUUUAUUCUACAUUUGACUUAGGUCUAAGCCCAAGCUCCACACCAUGCUAGUUGGUGGAGUACCCAUGUCCUCGUGUUAGGCCACCAGUAUGCUGAAAUAGCGCCAGACUCUGUUUGGCUCCGUUUUACGUGCUGGUCUUGGCAUUGGGAUGUUGGAUGCUCUAGGACUAUUCCAAGUUGCUCCAUGCUCCUGUCUCUUCACUCUUUGGGCUAUAUGCUUGGAAGUCGUUCUAUGCCCUAGUGCCAUUGCUCCUUGGCUCCAUGCUUUGGAGUUUGGCACCGUUUCUUCGUUCAGUGGCCCAAGGCCCUGAAACUCGGGUUCCACACCACUGUUCUUUGGACAUGUGGCAUAUGACACGUGGCACAUAAAGGGUUUCGGUUCCGCUUUGUGGUUAUCCUAUGGUAAAUCACCAUAGGAUAAAGGGUAAAAACCACGUGCGCUACAUUUAGUAUCAGAGGAUGAGUCUCAACGAGUACUAUUAAAUGAGAUUGGGUAACUAGUCUCGUUACAUACGCAGAGUUGAAAACGAUGAUCCGAGUGGGUACACAUUUGGGUGCAAAGGCUUCGCAAUGGUUCCUUGGGUAUGGAUUUGGUUACCUUUUUGUACCAUACUAUGUGAGCUUGCUCUUGGGCUUAUAAAAGGGACUGAGUUAUUCUGUUUGCACGAGUUUGUGCUUGGGCUCAUGAAUGAGGUAUAUUAGCAACUCGAGGCUACACUUUGAGUUAGCAGGAUUAAUGUUAGCUUAUCAGUGGUUCCAUGAGUUGUUCCAUGUACCAUGGGUGAAAGUAAACUUUCCCUGGGUUUGCUAUAAAUGGCAAAUAGGCUAGUCCAUAGCUAUUUAGCACGGCACUAAUGGAUCCUUCCUAGACAUAAUUAUAAGUGGAUCAAUCAAGACUAUAGGGAUUAGUCUAUUGGUUCAAAUAGUCAUUGCCGUGCUCUCUCAUAAACUUUUCUUGAAUUGGACUGAAGGCAGUGCGAAAACAAGCUUGAGGUUUAGUUAAAGAUGAAACCGAAAAGAGAGUUAUCAGGGAUGAAGGAUCAAACACGUAAAUCAUUUUCUCUUUUUAGAGAGAUAAUUUGCAACAAGGUGUAACUCAUUGCUCGUGUUCACAUCAUGCAAUUAAGAUGUAAGCUAUAAAUUUUUCCUUUCCAAUUUGCCAGCUUACCUCAUCUAUCCAACCAACACUGCCUUGGCUUUAGCUAAGUGUAAGGAACCGACUCCCCGAGGUGUUGUAGGCUAAAAGAUCCCCGAAAGCAUGACCAAAAUGAUAAAAAGUUCAUCGGAUGGGACCAAGUCUAAGAUCGAGUCCAAGACCGACUCUAAGACCGAGUUCGAGAUAGAGUCUGGAAUCGAGUCCGAGAUCAACUCGGAGACCGAGUUCGAGACCGAGUUCGAGACGGAGUCUGAGAUCCGAAAUCGGGUCUGAGACCGAGUCCGAGGUCGAGUCUGAGGUCGGGUCCAAGAUCGGGUCCGAGAUCGAGUCCGAGAUUGAGUCCGAGACCGAAUCCAAAGUCGGAUCCGAGAUCGAGUCCGAGAUCGAGCCAGAGAUUAAGUCCGAGUACUAAUACGGGUCAAGGGGUGAAAGCCCAAAGUGUGCGUUUCCUAGAGGGGGGGGGGGGGGGGCUGCAGGGGGUUCCAAAAGUAUAGUAGGGAUAGUGAGGUCUAGGAACCAGUUUUGAAGGAACUCUCCAAUGGGGCUUCCAAACUAACUUGAGGUUGGGACUGGGACCGAGGGGCCUUGGGUGGGAGUGAGCAUAGACUUGGUUGGUGCUGGAGGGGCCAUCCAAGGAAAUGCUCAAGAGCAGCUCCCACUCUCGAAAGAGAAACCAACUGCGGUGCUCCCGGCUCAUGUGGAGUGGUGCCCCACUUGAGUACCAUGCGGCUCAUUGGUCCUUGCCCUUCCUAGGGGCUUGGACCUUCCCUUCGGGAUGGAAGUGGGGGGGUAGAGGUACCCAUACCGGGGCAUUAAGCCACGAUGUUUUGCCCUGACGUCCUGAAGCAAGUGCUGCACCCAAGGCUUGGGAUUUAGAGGGUCCCAUGAUCAAGUCUUGUUGUACCCAAGGGUGUUAGGAACCUGGAGGCUUGGUGUGCUUGGCUGCUUGUGCCUGCGGGGAGUGUAGUCGAACCUUAAGUCUAGUCUAACCCGGGGAGGGGGAUUGGGAGAGAUUUGGGAAUCCGUAGAUGGAUGGCUAACACUCCGUUGCUCGUGCAGUGAGUAAUUGAAACCAAGUAGGACCAAGUAGGAGCUGGUACAAUAGGUGAGAACCUUGGCAAGGGAACUUAGCACAAGAUAAAGCAGUGUUAGUAGGAUAGACGAGGUAAGCUGGGAAAUUGGAAAGGAAAAAUUUGUGGCUUACAAUUUGGUAUCAGAGCCUUUUCCUCAGUUCUAGCGAAGGAUAGAGGCUGAUUGCUGGGAGAUGGCAAAGGCAGGGCGGAAGCGAACCAAGGCGGAGACGGAACCUCCUCCAGAGCUGGAGCCUCCGGUUGAACGAGAGGCUAUGGAUGAGGAAUCCUUGCAUGAGGAGGACUUUAAUGAGGAAACUUCCAAACAGGAGUCCGGUGGCGAGGUUUAGUCGUCCAAGGCUUGAUUGGACGUGCUAGAAGGAUAGUUGGCACAAACCAAUGCCCUGCUGGAGACUCUCGUACGCAAGCUAAAGCAUGACGAGAAGCGGAAGAUAAAGAGAAAGACUGCGGAUGCUGGCAGCGCAGAAGGUGCGGCAGGGACUGAGGCAAAACCAAACAAGGUCAAACAGACCGAAGUAGAAUCAAUCCCUCAGGUAGUUCCCAAGUACAAACCAAAGCCCCCACCGGUCUUCAAGGGAGUGAAUGACUAUAAGGUGGUGGAGGAUUGGUUUUAUGAUAUGGAGGACUACUUUCGAGUGUUGCGAUUACCGAGCUCGGAGAAGGUCCCAUGUGCAAAACCAUACUUGGCAGAUAAUGCCAAGUCUUGGUGGAUAAUGACGGAAGCCAACGAAGGACCAGUGGCCACUUGGGACAUGAUGAAGGCGAGGAUCUGCGCAACAUAUGUGCCUUCGAAUGCCACUCUGCAUCUGAGAGAUGAGCUGAGUAGGCUGAAGCAAACUGGAACCAUCCAGGAAUAUGUGAAUGGGUUCAUGGCAAAGAGGAUACUUUUCACGGACAUGGGGGAUAUGGAUGCGUUCCAUGCCUUCAUAUCAAGUUUGCAAACCUAGGCUUGCGGUGAGGUGAUGCGCUGGAACCCGACCAACUACAAGGAAGCGUUGGAUGCGGCCAUCAAGGUGCAUUUCAACGAUAACCUGCAAAAGGGGAACACGACGGGGUCGGGAUCCACGUUUAGCAAAGGGGCAAAACCAAGGGGAAUGUAUAGCAGGGGGAAAUUCAAGAAGAGUUUCUCUAAGAAUGAGUCCUUGGGGUUCCGGAAAGGCAAAUCCGGUAGCCAGCGAGCGAGUACGUGGGGGAGUCAAGCGAAAAGAGACAAACCCAUGGAUAAGAAGGUCAAGUCGUAUAGCAGCGUGGGAAACAACGUAUGCUGCAACUGCGGUGAAGCGGGACACUUUUCGAGGGAAUGUCCCUACCCGAAGAAGGCCAGAGCCAAUAUGGCCAUCAAGUCGGGUGAAGUCCAAACUGAGGUAUGUGAUCCAGUCCCUAACUCAAAGUUACUCAUUACACAAGCAACUUUGGUAGAGAGUCGUUCGCGACAUCUACUAGCCCUCCGAGGGAAGCUCGGAGGUAGCUUUGUUAAGAUCCUUAUUGACACGGGUGCUUCGGAUAAUUUUGUGGCUGCAGACAUAGUCCGGCAAGCCGGACUAACGGUGCAGCGGCUAGGCGAACCAAGGACUAUAGAGUUUGUUCAAGGUAGCCAAAGCACUGAUGGAGGUACUUCGACAAGCGAGAGUCGAAGUAGGGACAUGGAAAGUAGACAUGGAUUUCACCGUGUUGGACAUGGCGGGAUUUGACGUGAUCUUCGGAAUGGAUUGGUUUAAUCAGUUCGUGGAAGCCCUGCAUGGACAAGGUAGGAACCUUGUGGUAUUGGCGAAUGCCCAAGGAAGAAGAUCUAGGGUGGAAGGAUCUAAAGGUAGGGCAAAGCAAGGCCAAAGAUUCCUGCUUAAAUCUGGUGUCCACGAGAGGACAACUCACUAAAGGAACUAAGGUAGCCUUUUUGUGCUUACUCUCGAUGAAGAGUGACAAAAAGACAGGAACGGAAGAAGUACCUUUAGUGAUCUAGCGGGUGUUGGACCAAUUCCAGGAUACCAUGCUGAAGGAGCUACUGGUGGGGUUGCCCCCCGCACGACCAAUAGAAUAUAAGAUUGAGCUGGUCAAGGGUGCUGAGGUGGUGGUUUGUCCCCCCUAUCGUUUGAACGAAAAAGAACUCAAGGAGCUCAAGUGCCAACUAGAGGAGUUGGUAGACAAAGGGUAUGUUAGGUUGAGCAAGUCGCCGUAUUGGGCACCGGUGUUAUUUGUGAAAAAGAAAGAUGGUUCUAUGCGCAUGUGCAUAGACUACCGGUUGCUCAACAAGUAUACAAAGAAGAACAAGUACCUUUUGCCAAGAAUUGAGGACUUGUUUGAUAGGUUGGGAAAGGCAAAAUACUUCUCGAGGAUUGACCUAAGGUCAGGAUACUACCAGAUCAGGGUAGCCGAGGAAGAUGUCGAGAAGACAACCUGUCGAACGAGGUAUGGGAGCUUUGAGUUUCUGGUGAUGCCCUUCGGGCUAUGCGAUGCGCCGGCAAUGUUUUCGGUGCUGAUGAACCACAUCUUUGUACCCUAUCUGGAUCACUUCGUGAUCGUCUAUAUCGACGACAUCCUGAUCUACAGCGAGACGCUAGAGGAGCAUGUCGAACACUUGGCGAAGGUGUUUGAGAAACUAAGGGAACACAAACUGUAUGCUAAAGAGAGCAAAUGUGACUUUGCUCAACAAGAGGUAAAGUUUCUCGGGCAUGUGGUGGGCCAGGACGGGCUCAAGGUGGACCCGGAGAAGGUGCAAGCGAUCCAGGAAUGGGAGCGACCAUCGAAUGUACAUGAGUUGAGGGCAUUCUUGGGGCUAUGCAACUACUAUCGAAAGUUUAUCAGACACUAUUCGAUGCCCUGCCCUUAACGGACCGAGGGUAGCCCUGCCCUUAACGGACCAAACAGGAAAAGGGAAGAUGGUUUGGACAGCGGAAUGCGAGGCAGCAUUCAUCCACCUCAAAGGGAAGUUGAGGAAGGCUCCCGUGUUGGCAUUACCAAACUUUGGUAAGGACUUUGAGGUAGAAACGGAUGCUUCGGAUUUUGCGUUGGGUGCAGUUUUGAAGCAAGACAACCAUCCAGUAGCGUUCUUCUCGAAGAAGUUGGACAAGGCUCAACGGAAGUGGCUUGCCCACGAGAAGGAAUUGUUUGCGGUGGUCAAGGUGCUCAAGGAGUGGCGACACUACCUUGGGAGACACUUCAAGGUCUACACGGACAAUAUGGCAAUGAAACACUUCUUGUCACAGCCCGACCUGAGAGGGAAACAAGAUCGGUGGGCCAAUGCCUUGGCCGAGUUUGAUUGCGAGAUUCUGUACAAGCCUGGGAAGAGCAACAUCGUGGCGGAUGCGCUAAGUCGAAAAGCGAGCUUGAGGUUGGCGAUAUCCAGCGCAAUAGCAACCUUCUGGGACAAUGUGCGGAUAGCAUAUGAGAACGAUGGUCUAGCACAAGAAGUGUUGCUGAGGAAUCUAGAGGCACGGGAAUCUCACCAGAGAGGUGAGCUGCCAACAGAAGAGAAAACGGGCUAUGCGGAAUACAAUGGACUCAUCUAUUACAAGCAAACGAGGGUGUAUGUUCCAAAAGGGGAACUAAGGAAGGUAGCCUUAGAAGAGUGUCAUGACGGACCUCUUGCGGGACACGGCGGAGUGCCCAAGACGAUGGGCUUACUCAAGAGGAAGUACCAUUGGCCAGAUAUGGCUAAGAACAUCCAAGACUAUGUAAAGACAUGUCCAAUAUGUUAGCAGGUCAAAGUUGUGACUAAGGCUAGUGGGGGCUUGUUGCAAAGCAUCCCAAUUUCAGAUCGUCCAUGGAAAUGUUUUACGAUGGACUUCAUCACGGGACUUCCCCCAAGCAAGGGGUUUGAUGCGAUAUUCAUGGUGGUGGACCGAUUUUUGAAAAUGGCACAUUUCAUACCCACCACAACAGAAGUGGAUGCGGAAGGUGUGACGAAGCUGUUGUAAGCCACAAAUUUUUCCUUUCCAAUUUGCCAGCUUACCUCGUCUAUCCGACCAACAUUGCCUUGGCUUGUGCUAAGUUCCCUUGCCAAGGUUCUCGCCUAUUGUACCACCUCCUACUUGGUCCUACUUGGUUUCAACUACUCACUGCACGAGCAAUGGGGUGUUAGCUAUCCAUCUACGGAUUCCCAAAUCUCCCCUAAUCCCCCUCCCCGGGUUAGACUGGACUUAAGGUUCGGCUACACUCCCCGCAGGCAUAAGCAGCCAAGCACACCAAGCCACUAGGUUCCUAACACCCCUUGGUACAACAAGACUUGAUCAUGGGACCCUCUAAAUCCCAAGCCUUGGGUGCAGCACUUGCUUCAGGACAUCGGGGCGAAAUACCGUGGCCUAUCGGCCCGGUAUGGGUACCUCUACCCCCCUACUUCCAUCCCGAAGGGAAGGCCCAAGCCCCUAAAAAGGGCGAGGACCAAUGAGCCACAAGGUACUCAAGUGGGGCACCACUCCACAUGAGCCGGGAGCACCACAGUUAGUUUCCUUUUUGGGAGUGGGAGCUGCUCUUGAACACUUCCCUGGGUGGCCCCUCCGGCACCACCCAAGCCCAUGCUCACUCCCACCCAAGGCCCCUCGGCCCCAGUCUCAACCUCAAGUCAAUUUGGAAGCACCACUGGAGAGUUCCUUCAAGACUGGUUCCUGGACCUCACUAUCCCUACUAUACUUUUGGAACCCCCUGCAGCCCCCCCCCCCCUUGGGAGACGCACGCUUUGGGCUUUCACCCCUUAACCCGUAUUAGUAUUUGGACUUAGUCUCUGGCUCGAUCUCGAACUCAAUCUCGGAUCCGACUUCGGAUUCGGUCUCAAACACGAUCUCGGACCCGAUCUCGGACCCGACCUCGGACCUGACCUCGGACUCGACCUCGGACUCGGUCUCGGACCUGAUUUCGGAUCUCGGACUCCAUCUCGAACUCGGUCUCGAACUUGGUCUUGAACUCGGUCUCCAAGUCGGUCUUGGACUCGAUUCCGGACUCUAUCUCGAACUCGGUCUUAGAGUCGGUCUUGGACUCGAUCUUAGACUUAGUCCUAUCCGAUGAACUCUUUAUCAUUUUGGUCAUGCCUUCGGGGCUCCUUUAGCCUACGACAUCUCGGCGAGUUGGUUAUUUACAACUCCACCACCAAUAGAAGAAGUUCGAUGCCCACAUCGAACAUCUCUUUUUUAUUCUACGACUUGUUGACCAUGUCUCUAGGGGCAUCCCCCCAUUUAGCAGUGUGCCUAAGUUAGCCUCCCCGGCCAAGAGCCUAUGACAACGGAAUAUAGGUGUCCCUAUACUUCUCACCUCACCACGCCCUAGUAUGGGGCCGAGACUUGAACCCAACCUUGCUUGGGGUACAUGAGGCGAUGAGGUACAAGAUUUUUCUCAUGGGCUUGCAACAGGGGAGACAGCCGUGGCGACUCAUGUUCCGGCAGAGCCUCCUAGCGAUACGCCCCAAACACAAUGCAGCCAAACCGUGGGAGGAGGACCCACGGUGGCUCUUCGCAGAAGGACCGACGCAGGUAGUAAGGGGGGGCAACUUCGUCCAGAGCCUUCAUUGACUGUGGAGAGCCUUUCCGCUGGAGCAAACACCACCGACUAGGGCCGAGGAGUGGCUCAACCAGCCUUUGUUUUUCAACGCACUGUUCAAAGAGGGAGGUGUGACACGAGGACGAGAGGCACACCACACGAUCUGGAGGAAAAUGCACGCAAAUGGAUUCUGGACAAUGAAGCAGCUGGUGGGAGUGAUUGACAGGGAUUGGAGGUGAACAGCGAGAAGGACUCAAGUGUUUGGACCCUGGAAGCGACGUAACAUCCUGCUGGACGUUCUGCGACUCCUCCGAGUGGUGAACAACACGAAAGCAGGGACGAAGUGGCCGAGAAGAUGCCUUCAAGCAGGGGACUUUGUGGCGAUCCAGCGACAAACAGAGUGGGAGGAACACGAUGCUGUGCGACGUCCGCUAGGGACGUGGACUCGAGCAUUCACCGCACCUACACCAGCAUGGGAAGAAGGGGACGUUGAGGUGUGGUUCGUUGCUGCACUAGAGCUCAACAUAGGACUGCUCGCAUCACGAGAGGAGACACGCUUCUCCCGGUGGGUGAGAGACAAGAGAUGCCGGACGUCACGGACGGUGAGGUACGUGGGAGGAUCCGUGUGCUUAGGCACUCACCCAAGAGGCUGGACGUGGUGGACUCGGAAGACCGGCUGGAGGGCGAUGGAUCACUGAUAUGGUGGCGACAGCAGCUACUAGAAGAUCUGGACUGGGACCCUGCUGCAUGGCAACGAGGGACAGGAAGCUUUUUCUCCUAUGCAGUCAAGGAAGCGCGGAAUGGACUACUGACAUCACGAGAGGAGGCGAGAGAGGAGAUUCUGAAGCUGUGGCAGAAGUGGAUAGCACAGGGGGUCGGCGCGGAGCAAGUGGUAGACAACACGAUUCACUUUUGGAAGUUGCCCGUGUAGGAAAAAGUGAAAGUCACCUCGUGGUUGGUAGCAAACAAUGGGCUUCCAGUUGGACAGCGAUUCCAGGAUGACGCGAGUCGCAGGUGCAGGGAGUGUGACGAAAUCGAGACAGUCAAGCAUGCACUGUGGGAGUGUGACACGGCAAAGGAGGUGUGGCACCAGAUUAUUAAGGCAGGGAAGGAGUUGGGCGUGACACAGGAUUUCGAGGCCCGCAAUGGGGAUGUGCUUCACUGGUUUGAGGAAGCGAGGGGCCCUGCCCAGGGCCCAGCCUUACGACACAUCAGGUGCAGAGGACGACACGGCUGGGGGAUUCAGGUCCGGUGGGACAUGACCGGGGCGGAGGUAGGAGUCCCCGUGUGGGAGGCGCUUGGACAUGCUCGAUGGGCGAUAUGGCGUGUGACGGGAGUCCAGGCCCUUUGGGAAGCACGUAACCGGGCGCACUUCGAAGGGACACAGGUCAGAGUAUCACAGGUACUGGUAGAGUGGUGGAGACUUACACUGGCGGCAAUACGGCUUCACCAUGCUAUCCUCCGGGACAGGGGGAAGCUCGAGAGGCUCGAGGAGUGGCAGAAAGCAUGGUUGCCAUGUUUUGGUAGAGGAGAUCACAAGGAUGUUCGUUGGAGAUGGCGCCCCCCAGAGUCAAUCUUGCGGUCAGCACGAAGGGGGGACAUGGAUCUGGACGUGAUACAACGGAGACGACCGCAGCUACUUCUACUGCAGGCCUAGUCUCACUUUAGAUGAGGGAGAUCACCACUAGGUAGCAUGAGCUUCGGGCAGCAUGCCCAGUUUUUGUAUUAGUCCCUACGGGACAUUGGGGAAUGUACAUACACGUUUCAUUGAACCCAACCUUGCUUUACUAGGGGGUUGGGACUCGAACCCAACCUCUGUAGAAUACGUGUAUGGAUUCAACAUCCCCGCAGGGAGUCGGGCGUAAUUCCCUACGCCUGGUCGACCUAGUUAACCCAUGCUAAUUAGCUUACCUUCGGCGCACUUUCGGGUCCCAACAUAUGCCAUUGCUCAACUUCUCAAAUUGAUACUUUUAAUUGAACUUUGCAUAUGUACAUAGAGUUCUGCCUUGCAGAAAUUCCUCCACUAGAUCUUGCGCGUUUGCUAGGUUCUCCUCCGGUUCCCAUGUUGCUUCGCAGUGUGGAAAUCCUUUCCACUUCACAUGGAACUCUCUCACCUCACGUCCUUGUCGCUUGCUCUUGCGCACAUUGAGGAUGGCCUCGACUUCGUAUUCCUCUUCCCCUUGGAUAACCUCAGGUAAAGGUCUUACUUGGUCCUUGCGAAGCGGAUGCUCAAAAUACGGCUUGAGUAAGUUCACGUGGAACAUGGGAUGCAUCUUCCCCAUUUCUUGAGGAAGUCGGAGACGAUAAGCCACUUUACCGAUUCGAGCCUCAAUUUCGUAAGGCCCCACGAACCUUCUUAAGGAACUCAAGAUCAAUUCAUUUACAGGAAUGCAUGAUUUUUACCUUUGGGUAAACUUUCGGCUGAUCCCACUUGGUAGCCUGAGGUUCUUGGUGUUCAGCAACACCUUCUCCCCAGCUUGGAACUCUACGUCCCAGCGUUUCUGGUUUGCGUACUUGGUUUGCAUUUGUUGCGCCCGUUCCAAGGAAUCCCUCACUAGAUUCCAAAUGUUGAGUCUUUCCGCCGUGAAUGCCUCCACUGCGGGUAGCUCUCCAUAAUACUCGGCCACGCCGAGUUCCACAGGACCUUCAAUAGCUCGCCCAUUGAUGACUUCCCAUGGACUCACCCCGAUACUCGAAUGUGGUGAGUUGUUAUAACACAUUUCCGCAAGUGCCAAAUGACUUACCCAAUUGGUCUGGUCUCCUGAGACAUAGCAUCGCAAAUAAUCCUCCAGCUGCCUAUUCACCCUUUCUGUUUGUCCGUCUGUCAAGAAGUGUUAGUGCCACCAAACUUGACUUAAUACCCCAUACCUGUCUGUGGGUGAUAGGCUGUGCUGAAUUUCAACUUAGUGCGAUACUGUUCCAAGAGAGUCCUCCAGAACCUACUAGUGAAGAUCUUAUCUCGAUCUGAGAUGAUCUCUUCCGGCCUUCCCUGCACUCAAACCACUUGUUUGAAGAACAGCUUCGCCACACCUUCCGCAUCCACUUCCGUUGUGGUGGGUAUGAAAUGUGCCAUUUUUGAAAAUUGGUCCACCACCACGAAUAUCGCAUCAAACCCCUCGCUUGGGGGAAGUCCCGUGAUGAAGUCCAUUGUAAAACAUUUCCACGGACGAUCUGGAAUUGGGAUGCUUUGCAACAAGCCCCCACUAGCCUUAGUCACGGCUUUGACUUGCUGACAUGUUGGACAUGUCUUUACAUAAUCUUGGACGUCCUUAACCAUAUCUGGCCAAUGGUACUUCCUCUUGAGUAAACCCAUCAUCUUGGGCACUCUGCUGUGUCCUGCAAGAGGUCCGUCAUGACACUCUUCUACAACUACCUUCCUUAGUUCCCCUUCUGGAACAUACACCCUCGUUUACUUGUAAUAGAUGAGUCCGUUGUGUUCCGCAUAGCCCGUUUUCUCUUCCGUUGGCAGCUCACCUCUUUGGUGAGCUUCCCAUGCCUCGGACUCGAUCUCGGACUCGAUCUCAGACCCGAUCUCGGACCCGAUCUCGGACCCGACCUCGGACUCGAUCUCAGACCCGAUCUCGGACCCGAUCUCGGACCCGACCUCGGACUCGACCUCGGACUCAGUCUCAGACCCAAUUUCGGAUCUCGGACUCCGUUUCGAACUCGGUCUCGAACUCGGUCUUCGAGUCAAUCUCGGACUCGAUUCCGGACUCUAUCUCGAACUCGGUCUUAGAGUCGGUCUUGGACUCGAUCUUAGACUUGGUCCCAUCCAAUGAACUCUUUAUCAUUUUGGUUAUGCCUUCGGGGCUCCUUUAGCCUACGACACCUCGGCGCGUUAGUUCCUUAUAGCUGUUCUUCGAACAAGUGGUUCGAGUGCAAGGAAGGCCGGAAGAGAUCAUCUCAAAUCGAGAUAAGAUCUUCACUAGUAGGUUCUGGAGGACUCUCCUGGAACAGUAUCGCACCAAGUUGAAAUUCAGCACAGCCUAUCACCCACAGACAGGUAUGGAGUAUUAAGUCAAGUUUGGUGGCACUAACACUUCUUGAUAGACGGACAAACGGAAAGGGUGAAUAGGCAGCUGGAGGAUUAUUUGCGAUGCUAUGUCUCGGGAGACCAGAUCGAUUGGGUAAGUCAUUUGGGACUUGCGGAAAUGUGUUAUAACAACUCACCACAUUCGAGUAUCGGGGUGAGUCCAUAGGAAGUCAUCAAUGGGCGAGCUAUUGAAGGUCCUGUGGAACUCGGUGUGGCCGAGUAUCAUGGAGAGCUACCCAUAGUGGAGGCAUUCACUGCAGAAAGACUCAACAUUUGGAAUCUAGUGAGGGAUUCCUUGGAAUGGGCGCAACAAAGGCAAACCAAGUACACGAACCAGAAGUGCCAGGAGAGUUCCAAGCUGGGGAGAAGGUGUGGCUGAACACCAAGAACCUCAGGCUACCAAGUGGGAUUAGCCGAAAGUUGACCCAAAGGUUAAAACACAUGUAUUCCUGUAAAUGAAUUGAUCUUGAGUUCCUUAAGCAGGUUCGCGGGGCCUUACGAGAUUGAGGCACGAAUCGGUAAAGUGGCUUACUGACUCCGACUUCCUCGAGAGAUGGGGAAGAUGCACCCAGUGUUCCACGUGAACUUACUCAAGCUGUACUUUGAGAAUCCGCUUCGUAAGGACCAAGUAAGACCUUUACCUGAGGUUAUCCAAGGGGAAGAGGAAUACGAAGUCGAGGCCAUCCUCAAUGCGUGCAAGAGCAAGCGACAAGGACGCGAGGUGAGAGAGUUCCAUGUGAAGUGGAAAGGAUUUCCACACUACGAAGCAACAUGGGAACCGGAGGAGAACCUAGCGAACGCGCGAGAUCUAGUGGAGGAAUUUCUGCAAGGCAGAACUCUAUGUACUUAUGCAAAGUUCAAUUAAAGUAUCAAUUUGUGAAGUUGAGCAAUGGCAUAUGUUGGGACCCGAAGGCGCGCCGAAGGUAAGCUAAUUAGCAUGGGAUAGCUAGGUCGACCAGGCGUAGGGAAUUAUGCCUGACUCCCUGCGGGGAUGUCGAAUCCGUAGAUGUAUUUUACGGAGGUUGGGUUCGAGUCCCAACCCCCUAGUAAAGGAAGCCUGGGUUCAAGUCCCAACCCCAUACUAGGGCGUGGUGAGGUGAGGAAUAUAGGGACACCCAAAGCGUGUGUCUCCCAAGGGGGGGGGGGGGCUGCAGGGGGUUCCAAAAGUAUAGUAGGGAUAGUGAGGUCUAGGAACCAGUUUUGAAGGAACUCUCCAGUGGUGCUUCCAAAUUGACUUGAGGUUGGGAUUGAGACCGAAGGGCCUUGGGUGGGAGUGAGCAUAGACUUUGUUGGUACCAGAGGGGCCAUCCAAGGAAGUGCUCAAGAGGAGCUCCCACUCCUGAAAGGGAAACCGACUGCAGUGCUCCCGGCUCAUGUGGAAUGGUGCCCCACUUGAGUACCAUGCAGCUCAUUGGUCCUCGCCCUUCCUAGGGGCUUGGACCUUCCCUUCAGGAUGGAAGUGGGGGGGGGUAGAGGUACCCAUACCGGGCCGUUAGGCCACGGUGUUUCGCCCCGACGUCCUGAAGCAAGUGCUGCACCCAAGGCUUGGGAUUUAGAGGGUCCCAUGAUCAAGUCUUGUUGUACCCAGGGGUGUUAGGAACCUGGAAGCUGGGUGUGCUUGGCUGCUUGUUCCUGCGGGGAGUGUAGCUGAACUUUAAGUCCAGUCUAACCCGGGGAGGGGGAUUGGGAGAGAUUUAGGAAUCCGUAGAUGGAUAGCUAACACUCCGUUGCCUNNNNNNNNNNNNNNNNNNNNNNNNNNNNNNNNNNNNNNNNNNNNNNNNNNNNNNNNNNNNNNNNNNNNNNNNNNNNNNNNNNNNNNNNNNNNNNNNNNNNGCACAAGCCAAGGCAGUGUUGGUCGGAUAAACGAGGUAAGUUGGCAAAUUGGAAAGGAAAAAUUUGUGGCUUACACUAAGUUUCCUCGCCAAAGUUCCCGUCUAUUGUACCAGCUCCUACCUGGUCCUACUUCGUUUUAGCUACUCACUGCAUGAGCAACAAAACGUUAGCCAUCUAUCCACGGAUUCCCAAAUCUCUCCCAAUCCCCCUCCCCGGGUUAGACUGGACUUAAGGUUCAGCUACAGUCCCUGCAGGCACAAGCAACCAAGCACACCAAGCCUCCAAAUUCCUAACAUUCUUUGGUACCACAAGACUUGAUCAUGGGACUCUCUAAAUCCCAAGUCUUGGGUGCAACACAUGCUUUGGGACGUCGGGGUGAAACACUGUGGCCUAAUGGCCUGGUAUGGGUACCUCUACCCCCCCACUUCCAUCCCGAAGGGAAGGCCCAAACCCUUAGGAAGGGUGAGGACCAAUAAACUACAAGGUACUCAAGUGGGGCACCACUCCAUAUGAGCCGGGAACACCACAGUCGAUUUCCCUUUCGGGAGUGGGAGCUGCUCUUAAGCACUUCCUUGGGUGGCCCCUCCGGCACCACCCGAGUCCAUGCUCAUUCCCACCCAAGGCCCCUAGGCCCCAGUCUCAUCCUCAAGUCAGUUUGGAAGCACCACUGGAGAGUUCCUUCAAGCCUGGUUCCUGGACCUCACUAUCCCUACUAUAUUUUUGGAACCCCCUGCAGCCCCCCCCCCCUUGGGAGACACACGCUUUGGGCUUUCACCCCUUAACCUGUAUUAGUUCUCAGACUCGGUCUCGGACUCAAUCUCGGACUCAAUCUUGGACCCGAUCUCGGACUCAACUUCAGACUCGACCUCGACUUGGACUCGGACCCGAUCUCGGAUCUUGGACUCUGUCUCGAACUCGGUCUUGAACUUGGUCUCAGAGUCGGCCUCGGACUCGAUUCCGGACUUUAUCUCGAACUCGGUCUUAGAGUCGGUCUUGGACUCAAUCUCAAACUCGAUCCCAUCCGAUAAACUCUUUGUCAUUUCGGUUAUGCUUUCGGGGAUUCUUUAGCCUACGACAUCUCGGGGAGUUGGUUCCUUACACAAGAGUCUCUACCUUGAUGCAUAUUGGAAAUGAUGGUCUUACAAAUGGUGAGUUGUGGGAUGGAUAGCGGUGAAACGCUAAACCAUUUUGUCUAAGCUUACUAUUGGAAACUUGGGUCAUAAUGCUCAAUUCUUUUUUGGGGAACCUUGCUAUUGCUCCUUGAGUAGCUUGGUGUUGGAUUAGUUGUGAGUUUGGUCGAAAAAUGAGUGGCAUGAGCUUGUUUGUGUUGUGAAUAAAAGAUAGUGGUGUUGAGUGUUGUAAAUCUCUUUUGGUGGGGUGUGGCACUUAUGUUGCAUUUUGUCGAAGCGAGUUGGCACUUGAUACUCACAUAAACCUUUGAAGUAAUGACAUGGGCAUUGUUUGUGGUAUUGCUCAAUUGAUGAUCUAGUCAUUGUGAUACUUAUAUUAUAUCCAUGUGAUAAUGAGUAAUGUGUUUACGAAGUUGCUUGGAUGAUGAUCAACCCCAAAGUGGUUGAUGGAGAAGCUAGUCUAUUUGCACGAAGUAAUAUUGUAGUAGCUUUGACUGGAUUCUUGCUGGUGGUCCAUUAUGCUAAGUUUAAGUUGGUUCUUAGUUCCUUGAGUUGACCCAUUGUGGUAUUAGGAAAGGGUUAUAGUGUUCACUUGCUAUGGCUUGUUAGUUUAUCUAUUAACACUUGGAGUAGAUUAUUGGAUGGAGAAGGUGUGCAGUUGAGGCAUUGACAUUGCUAGCACUUGUGUUAGUUGAAGUGGCAUUGUUAUUUCGAGUGAUGAGGAGUUUUUCCUUGGAGUUUAAUUUUUCAUGUCAUUUUUCUUAUUAGUGUUUUGGUUUCACAUUGGAACUUGAAGGUGAUUGAAGAAGAGUGUUAGUGCAAUAUGGAUAUCCGAAAAUAUGGUCUUCGUGAUCAAGCCUUGGAUGUUCAUUUUGCAUUUUGCGGAUGUCGGUGUUGGAUGUUAGAAAAACGGGCAAAAAUGUUCGAUGCUUAAGCAUGCUAUUGGGUCUUGAGAAUUUUUGUUGAGGUGAAACUAUGUGAAGUUGUUAGUAGGAGGAAGUUGGUUGAGUCUUGGAAGUUUGCAUUCCUAGACUUAGAAUCAUUCUUUCUCUAGGAUGAAAUUUUUUUCACAAAUUUUCUUAAGCUUUCCCAAUGGCUGAUCUAUUAAUCACUUUGCUCGAAACCAUUCCAUUUUUGAAAGCCAGUACAAACUAGUGAAGGGGUUGGAAUUGACUUCGGUUGGCUUGGAUCUUAGUAAGUAGUUUUUAUGAUGCGGCUCAAAAGGGAUGCUAACAUUUGGGGCUAAGGCAAUUGAGUUGAUAUAGAAAAGUGGCUAUGCACUUUUCUAAAAAGGGUGACCAUUGUGCCUUUGUUCUAUAGCGUUGUGCUUGGUGGCAAGUUGCACCUUGCAUUUGUUAGAUUCUAUGAGAGUAGUGAACUCUCAUUGAUCUUGAUUUAAUCUUGGUAGCCCUACACCUUGGCUAAGGAAAGUGAUAUCCAACUUAGUUAUUUAAGGUUAAGAUGUUGAUAUCCGUACUAUAGCUUUGUCUAUGAAGAAGUUGUGUACCAAUAUGAGUCCAUCUCAUGGUCUUCAUUUUAGUUUUGACUAAAUGUUGGUCAUGCAUAUCUAGCCUCUUCAAGGCAUGCUUAGAGCCGUUGGCUAAACACAUUGGUGAGCUUAUUGCGGUUGAGUUGGAUUUGAAUGGUCAUUUAAUUUGUGCUUGUUUAUAAACCUUUAUCUCAUACAUGAGGUAUUACAUUCAUGUUGAACAAGUAUAUGACUUGAUAACAAGAGUUGGUGUUUGGGUCUUGUGAAAGCAAGUUGAAAGAGUGAUUGUUAGUUGCUUGACAACUAAUGGUUGCUUGUAGACUUUGUCGAAGACUGUUUGACACUUGCUUCUCUUGAUGAUGAUUUAACAACAAAGGGCUUGCUUUACUGGAUGGUGUUGCAGAGGAUUGUGACGUUAGAUUUACAUGGUUUUUCCAUGUUAGUAUAUCAAUUUUACCUUUGUCAAUAUCAUUUGGUUGCACUUAGUUCAUAAUAUUGGAUUUCAUUAAAUUUUGGAUGUGGUGAUUCAUUCCUUGAUGAUGUGUUAUCUGUAACUAAGUAUUGUUGAAGAAUUGGUUUCAAAUAUUGAUUAAAAUAUCUUUGACUUUGGUUAGUUUAGUUGUUAGAGAGUUUUGAGUGGUGAUUUCACUCUUGCUUUCUUCUAGCUUUGUUUGGUGUUGAUGGCAUUGAAGUGAUGCCUUAUCAUUGACAUUGUUGAUAUUGAGAUUCAAGUGAAAUGAGAUGUCUUUCCAUAGAAUUGAUUUUGAGUUUCAUUAGUCUCAAUAAAAAUAGUGUUAAUGGUUUGGUUGUAGUUUUAUGUUGUUGGCAUUUUGUACAAUUGUUAGUUAGCAAUUGUAUUAACAUUCAAAUGAACUGAGUGGCAAAUUAAGUUGUGUUUUAAACAAGAUUGUUUAGUAGAGGUUGAGCUUUAGUUUUUCCUUGAAAAGUGGUUUAGUCGUGAACUAUGCUAACUUUACAAGCGGAAGAGUUAGUGAUUGAUAUUGAAGUGAUUGAAUCUUUGUUGGAUUUGAGUUGGGAUAUAUCAAUCAUUGAUGAUUUUUUUUAUGCUUGUUAUGAAGUGAGUUACAUCUUACUAUAGAUGGAUUCAUGGAGGAUCAUUUGGUUCUCACUUAUUGAGCAUAACUUAAUUGUGUUUAGUUUUUGAAUUGAUGCAAAUAUGCUCUUCAUUAACUUUGGCAUUAUGAAGCUUAGCUUAUGGAUGUGUUGAGGAGAAUAUUGUGGGUUGUACCAUGAUUUCUUCUUUAGCACGUGUUAUAGAUCUUCAUAUAGAUUUCUUCAUAGCACAUUACUCAAGUUAGUUCUGAUAGAUUAAAAUGUUAUCUCUUUCGGAUGAUACAUUAGCGAGCAUUAUGCUUGUCAGUUAAGGAUACUUUGUAUUCUUUGAGUUAUCUUUGGUAAGUUGUUUAGCAUACUGUUUACAAUCUUCGGUAAUUAAGUUUUCUCAUUGAGUUUUCUUGAUGAUACACUUGCUAUUGAAUUUUGUUGAAUAGUGAAUCCUAUAUUUUCCAAUUAUGUUGAUCUUGGUGGUUCCUAUACUGUAAUGCUGGUUUAUGAGAUGAUAACUUACUUAGAAUACUUUUGUAUUCUAAUCUAAGAUUUAUUCACUGAUAAUUAAGUCUCUAAGAUAUCAUUGUUUAUGACUUUGAUAUUGUCCAUCUAUUGAUCUUUGGGUUUGGGCCAAUAUAGGCAGACUGGCUUCGGCACUUCGUGUGUAUGGUGAAAUCUUUAGUCAUGGGGUAGCUACUAUCUACUGGUCACAUCACCCACUUCUCUGUCCAUGUUCCUUAUUUUGUUAAAAAGGGCGUGACCAUGUAAAUAACUCUAACUGAUUAUUUACAAUAGUCUAUUUAAACCUUACCGACAAGUUUGAUUUCUUUACUUAUAAGGGUUGGGGCCUCUAGCUUCUCUCUCUAUGCCACUUGUGGGUAGGGGCAUAUCACACUUUUGUAAGUUGGGUGACACUAAGAGCAGCAAGGGUGGCUAACUCUGUUGGUCAUUUUCUUGUCGGCAACGGCCAGAAGGUGUCUGAGCUAGUAGCACAUCCACGUUAGACAAAGAGGUUGUCUCCUAACUCAUUUAAGUUGGUGUAUCUGAUUUAAGUAUACAGUCAAUGACCAAUUUCUCAACUAGCUCAAGUGGGAACUAAUAACAGGUCUAACAAUACCGACCUCUUGCUAUUGUGGUAGUAAGGAAAGAAUAUCCGAAAGGACUAGCCAACAAAUAACUUUUGAUACCCGAAGUCACAUUCAAAACACUCUCCCCCCCUAGGGAAGAUUGAUGUCCUCGUUGAUGCAUACUCAAGUCUAGACCACCGCCAAGGAAACAACUCCGGAAAAAGUUCAUAGUGAUCACACUAUAAGAGAAAGGGGGGGGGGGGGAGGGGGCCUGUAGAGGGUUCCAAAUGUAUAGUAGGGAUAGUGGGUAGGUUGGGCAUGGCCGACCAACCUGAGGCAUAGUUUAGCUCUUAUUUGCGUGCCUGUCCUUGUUCUGCAUCCGACUUGGGUUUAACCGCAAGCUCCACACCAUGCUAGGAGUACCUAUUUCCUCGUGUUAGGCCACCGGUAUGCUAAAAUAGCAUUAGACUCUAUUUAACUCUGUUUUGCAUGUUGGUAUUGGCAUUGGGAUGUUAAAUGCUUUAGGAUUGUUCCAAAUUGCUCUGUGCUCUUGUCCCUUCGCUCUUUGGGAUAUAUGCUUGGGAGUUGUUCUGUGCCUUAGUGCCAUUGCUCCUUGGCUCCAUGCUUGGGAGUUUGGCACCGUUUCUUCGUUCAGUGGCCCAAAGUUUUGAAACUCGGGUUCCACACCACUGUCCUUUGGACACGUGGCAUGUGACAUGUGGCAUAUAACAUGUGGCACAUGGAUGGUUUCGGUUCCACUUUGUGGUUAUUCUAUGGUAAAUCACCAUAGGAUAAAGGGUAAAAACCACGUGUGCUACACCAAUGCUUACUCUCUGAGAGAUUUAUAGUUGGAAUGUAUGCAAGAUCCUCAAGUGGUUGGUCUUAAUAAAAAGAUUUCAUUAGCAAUAAAAAGAGAAGAAAAAAAAAGAAAAACAAACCUGAAAAGAGUGAUGUCUUUAUUGGAAUAUCCUAGCUUCCCACCACCCCAACCAUAACUCAAGUUGUGGUAUACAACUUACGUCCAUAUGGCCAUCUUCACGCCACCACAUUUGAAUCUUAUUUGCUUUUGUCUUAUACUCUUCUUUAGAAAGUGCAACUUACCAUUGUUUUGCACAAUUCCUUAAACACUAAUUGGAAAUCUAGCUUAAGAAGAUGGCAGUAUUGGUUUAGGCUCUAAGCCCAUGGAACUCACAAGUCCUUUCACAACCUUCUAGGGGUUGAUCAUUCCCAAAGACUGCUCGAACACCAUUUCAAUUAGCCUAUGAAACCAUGAAAGUUGGUAGGCUUACCAGUCUGCUUCAGUACUGGUAGAGCAUGAGCAUUGAGAGAAUGAGAGAGAGAGAGAGGGAAUACUCUUAUCCUCAGAAUAUUCCCCAUCUUCCUUGUAUAUAUAACCCUUGCCUCACAAGGGCAAGGGGGGGCAUUGACAAAGAGUAUUGAGGCAUUUCUUGUGUUUGAGCGAGCGUUCGGGGAGAUGCCCCUCCUUCCCCUAACAAAUGGUGAACCCGGCAUCACAUGCAGCACUUUCGAAGGCAUCAUUUCUCUCUUUUUCUUUUAGCCGCAGAUUUUGGGAAGGAAUUUUUUAUUUGUCUUGUGGUGGUUUUGUUUGAUCUUGGGUGUGUUUUGGAGCUCCUCUUUCCAGCAAGGUAUGGCGCUCAUCAAGCCGUGUAGUAUUUGAAAAGAUACAACAUUUCUUGGCUCAGGUUUGAUGAACAUUUUGGGUUUUCACUUUCUCACCUAAAUCCUCGGCCCAAUUUCUCAAAGUAGUGCAUUUGGGCUUGUAGAUCUGGCCUAGAUCUAUGAUAGUGGUGAUUCUUGGCACUAGAUUUGGGCAAAUUGACGACAUGCAAAAGGAUUUUCUUCUCCAGUCAUCUUUGUAGCAGGAAUUUAUGCUUCUCCGGGCUUUGUUUUGGAUGUCGUUUGUUUCUAGGGGUGCUUGUGGUCCUAGGUUUUCCAAAAAUAUCAACAGCACCUUACUAUCAAUCUACAACAGUGACAUGCAUAUGUUUUUCCACAAUAUUGGUGUUCUGGGCUACCUCUUCUUGGAUUUCAGAGAAUAUUAAAUGAACUUCUUCACAAACACUUGUGGUAGAGGGUAGACCCCCCCUUUCCAACAAACCCACCAACAGUCAAAAUGGGGAAGGAUCGAGACCAAAAGACUCAUUUUUCUCUUUUGGGCUAAACUUUGUUGAAAGUUCCUUGGGAACGGAACAAUCUUCAGGGAGCAAGAGUAGGCAUAGGAAUAGGAACAAGAAUAGGAGCAAAAACAAGAGUUGGCAUAGGGGUAGGAGUAGGCACAGGGGUAGGAGUUAGUGUUGGAGUAGACGCAGGAAUAGGAGCGAGAGCAGGUGGUUGGUUACAGGUCCUUAAUUACUAGUUACUAGUUACUGGUUACUAGCUACUCUGAGAGGUCAGCGCUUACUCUACGGGUCAACGGUUAUGUGUGCUUGAGGCUUAUAUCUCCUUCCAUUUUCACCCUUAUUACUUUUCGUCAUAGGCAUUUUGGGCAACUUUGAGCAACUUGAGUGCUAGCCUGCAAUCUUCUUGCUUCUAUCAACCCAGUUGCCUUGACCAGGCAUUUGCAAUGUUUAGGGUAUUUGAUGCCGGUACAAACUAGAUGUGUGACAAAUAGCACUUUUUUACUAUACCUCAAGGCCCUAAGGUAUGUAGUAAGCUUUCUAACAUCCAAAAGUAGCUUAGGUACGACACAGCACCUCCUUGAGCCGAGUCCUCUUCAUCCUCAAUAGAUUCCAGUGACUUAGAUCUACGAGCUAUGGCGCAGCCACCUUUAGCUCGACCCCAGCUCCAUGUUUUGCAGAAUGGGAGUGAUAUGCCGACCUUCUUAUGUGUUGGAAUAGCCUCUCCAACAUUGCAUAUUAGUCGCUUUGAUUAUUACUGCACCACAAACAUGAUCACCGACGAUUGUAUGUGCUAUGACUUCUUAUAAUCUCUCAAAGGCAAAGCAGCAACUUGGGUAGAUUCUCUCCUCCUAAAGGACUGAACAGACUUCUAGACACUACUUAUUUCUUUCAGAGAACAUUUCGUUGAAGAAAAACCCACAAAUCGGCUACUUGUCGACCUCUUUUUAUUUCGGCAGGGUGCUCAUGAGUCUAUUCCUGACUAUAUAACUUGGUUUUGAGCAUACUGGAAGAAAUGUUGGGAUUAUAGAGUGCUCCAAGAUGAGCAACAAGGAAUUAUAGUAUUUAUAGCGGGUCUGCAUGGGAACUUGCAAUAGAAACUUCUUAAGAAGACAUUCAGAUCUUGUUGCGAGGCCUUUUCAUUUGCCACGAAGUUGGAAAGAGAGCUUCUUGUGAACCUGAGGAUCGCUAGAAUUGAUUUCGACCAAGCCAUCACCCCGUCAAAAUCACCUUGUGCAACUAUUCACCUAUCCACACUAAAGCCCAUCCCUAUUGAGCAUACACCUCCGGCUAUUGAGAACUUUGCCAAAGAGAUGUAACAGUUGAAGGAGAUCAUUUUUCAGCAACAAUCACACCAUGACAAACUGCUCCAAGAGCUCGUGGAGUCCAAGAAAGAGGUUGCUACAGCUUGGGAACACAGAUUUUAAGUCCCGUUGGUGCAUUCACUGCGAGACGAACACACACAACACGCAGCACUGCUUCAAGCUUCACCCAAAGCUUUGGCCUCCACCUUCUCAACGUCUCUAACAAUGUCCCUUUAUUGAUAAUUCCACAUCGUCUCAGGGUCUAGUGACAUAUCAGAAGCAGUUGGAGCAACAAGCAAUUGAAGCAGCCCCUUCGUCAAACAAAGGCAAGGUACUAGCCUUAUCGGUUAACACGAUUUUGGUAGCCAAGGAACUCUAUAGGCAAUAGCAGCAAACCGCAGCCACUCAAGCCCAAGAGAAAAAAAAGGCAGCCGCUCAGCCUGCCAUAAAUCCCCCAAUGCCAGUUGAGAGUGAAUCUCUAUUGGCACCAGAUCCAGUGACACAGAGGGUGGCUUAUAAGCUCUCUUUCAAGUCACUACUCUCUUCUCCUCCUGAGAUCCCACCAAUAGCUAUUCCUGUUCUGGAGUUGGUUCUUCAACAGUUGGUUGACACUCCCGCACCUUUUCACUCUGAGACAUAUUGUGUCUUGUCCCGGGAUUCAGCUAGUGUUUAGAGGAGUUUGCACAGUUAGGAACACUAGAGAGCACUCUCAAGAGGACUCCUCAAGAGGUGCACAUUGUCGACAUGAUAAGAUAUGGUGGAGAUCCUGGUCCAUUCUUCGUCCCGGUGCAAAUUGGUAAUUCCUCUUGUAGGAUGGAUGCUUUGGUUAACUCUAGUUCUGGAAGCAACAUUAUCUCUCUCGAAGUUGUCCUUUCAGCACAGCUACAGGUCAUUGAGAGCUCCUCCAUCGUGCUCAAGACCUUUGCCAAGCACACCAUUCCUCCAGCGGGCAUUUGCUGUGGUGUCAAGGUCUUAGUGUAGGGUGUUAUUUCUGAGGUAGAUUUCCUUGUGGUUGACUACCAUCAUCUUGGAACGUCCUCUUUGAAAGACUCUAUCUCCUUGGCUACUCAUGGCAAGUCACAACCCAUUGCACCAUUGACAGUGCACAAGGCAAAAUGGAAAUUAGCGAUGGAACCCAUAGCGCCACCUUUCUCAACAACCAUGGCAGAGCUCUUUCUCAUAAAGCCUAGCAGACUCAAAAUAAGAUGGCCUCCACACCACACUUCCCUCCUAAGCUCACAGAGUUUUUUCUGAGUUGGCGGUGGAGUUAACAAUCUAUAUGACGGAUGCUUUCUCAUGCAAUGCGAUUGACAUGGUUGGAGGUGAGUUAGAUAGCUCGAGACAUCUCUCAGCUUCACUCUCUUUAUUUGAGAGUAAAGCCGAGCCUUUCACCACGCCCUCUUUAUUUGAUGGUAGGGCUUAUAGGGUAUGGGCUCCCAUAUCCAGCUUUUCGGAGUGUUUCUUGAUAGAGGAAGGGCUUCUCGAUUUGUUUCUUGCAUGGGACCAACUCUCUCUUAUGGAGCUUGAGGACAAUUUUAGUCCUCUAGAUCUGGUUGUGGAGCUCACUCUAGACCAGGUCCAUCUUUUGCAGGACACAGCCGAACUCAAUCCUCCUCAGCAACUAUCUGGGGUGUCACACAGCCAGCAUCUUUCUACUAAAAUCACGGUAGCUGACGACUCCGAGUGUAUUUUGUCAUGCCAUUUCCUGGAGACGGAGGAUGACAUCUAGACACAGAAAUGGCAGAAAGAAUCAAGCCAAUCAAACAUGCUGCAUGUGAGUUAGAGCUCUUUGAGUUCAAAAUUUCCUACUGUAGAGCUCCUGGUACAGAUCCAAGUGUAUUACACUGAAAGUUUAGCAUUAGACUUGGACUUGACUUCGGUGGAAGAUCUUCCUUCACUUGCAAAGUACUUGGCUAUAGUCCUUGCAUUUGACAUUGAGCGCUCAGAGCAUCGGAAGCAACAAGAACAAUAGACAAAGACUCCAGAUCCAAUAACAACGUUCUUGCCUAACUUGCCAGAGACAGUCUUGCUGGAUGUGGUGUCCCUAGCAUCUUUAUUUGAAGCAGAGGACACUCCUAUUCAUAAUGCAAAGAUAAUAAAGAGCACGUCUGCAUUAAUCCAAAAGCCAAAUACAACAAAGCUAUGCUCAAUAAGUGUGUAAGUGACUAAUUUUUCCAUUUUACUUUAGUCACUUAACUGCAUCUCCGACCACUUGGAGGAGUCUCACUCACAACCUCCAUAAGUCCUAUUUCAGACUUGGGCUUGCUAGCCCCUAGAAUGGCAUCCCCGCCACUCAACCUUUGCACUUGGUAUAAGUGCCCCACGUGUCCGAUCCCAUGACCGACACCCUAAGAUACCACUAACAUAUCAGCCCGUUACACUAAGGCCAUGCCCAUUCACCUUGGUCACACUGGUGGUCUAACACCACCUGCAUCACAGUCCCGUCUCUCAAAGACUGGGCCAUCCAUCCACGAGUGAUCAUCCCAGAUCCACUCCUUAGCAUCCUUAGGAUGCCCACAAACAUGGGGAAUAGCCUUCCCCAACAUCCCUUUAUCAGUUCCUACCAAGUCCCUUUCCCGUCCAUAGCCAUGUUCACCAACACUACCACUAGAUCAAGGCCCGUAGGCCCCGUCCACUAAGUCCCAUUGUCCUCUGGGACUUCCUCACCAUGUGACCGUAUCCGUAGUCACUACACUAGAGAACUGCUCCUCCUCCUUUCCCCCAUUUGGGACUUCGGGACAACAUUUCGAAACACUGUGGCCCUACGCGAGCCCCGUGGGUACUCUCCCCACCUUCCACUUUUAGGUGCUCUAGCCAUGGGCUUAGAGCAAGGUUCUGUUGAGCCACACCAGGUAUCCAAGUAAGUAGUGCCACCCACACUUGGACUGGGAGUAUCACCCAGUCGAUCUCCCGGGGGAACUAGAGCCAGCUCUUGAACACUUCACCAAGCUACCUCGUUUGUCGGUCCGUAUUCACUCUAGUCUUGGACUUCCCAGUGGUCAGUUCAUCACCCAACACUGGGUCUGGCCUUCCUGGGCCAAACUGGCCUUUCCUGGCCAAACUGGCCUUUCCUGGCCAAACUGGCUCCACUGCAGUCCUCCCCCUUACUAUACUUUUGGAGCUCACCAAACCCCCUAGGGUCUGGGAGACAAACACUUUGGGCUUUCACCCUCUCAGACUCGAACUCAGACUCGGACUCGGACUCGGACUCGGCCUUGGCCUCGGCCUCGGCCUCGGUCUCGGUCCUGAUCUCGGUCUCGGUCUCAGUCUUGGUCUCGGUCUCGGUCUCGGUCCCGGUCUUGGUCUCGACCUCGGACUCCAUCUCGGGUCCUUCUUGGACUCCAUCUCGGACUCCAUCUCGGUCCAUCUCGGACUCCAUCUCGGACUCCAUCUCGGUCCACCUCGGACUCCAUCUCAGACUCCAUCUCGGACUCCAUAUCGGACUCCAUCUCAGACUCCAUCUCGAACUCCAUCUCGGUCCACCUCGGACUCCAUCUCGGACACUUCCACGUGUCAUGUUUUGGUCCUUUUUGGGUCCCUUUUUGGAGCCUUGCUUAUUGGUUACCUCGUGCUCGCUCCUCGAGCACUUUGUUGGGAGUUCCACUCCCACUCUCGACCUUCCAAGUCGGAGCUUUUAGUCCAAACGUGUUACGCUCGUUUGGCUUUCGCUUCAGCCACUACCACAUGGCGCCCUUCCGGCUCCACUUUGGGGCCUAGGGAUUUUGUGUCUCACAAAGUGAUCAUCUAAUCGAUCCUCUAUAAAUCCAUCUAUAACAAAACGUAACUCGCUUCAUAACAAACACAAGAAGAAUCAUCAAUGAUUAAUAUACCUAAUCUUAAAUCUAACAAAGACAACAUUCUAACAUCAAUCACUAACUCUUCUUUUGGUAAAAUUAGCAUUGUCUACAACUAAAUCACUUUUCAAGGAAAAACUAAAGCUCAACCCCUACUAAACAAUCUCGUCUAAAACAUAACUAACUCAAAUUGGUCAUUUAGUUUGUUUGAAUGUUAAUAUAGUUGCUAACUAGCAAAUGCACAAAUGCCAAUAACAUAAAGCUACAGCCAAAUCAUUAACACUAUCUGUAUCGAAAUUAAUGAAACUUAAUAUCAAUCCUAUAAAGAAAUAUCUCAUUUAACUCAAAUCUCAACAUCAAUAUUGUCAAUGACAAAGCAUCACUUCAAUGCCAUCAACACCAUAACAAAAUUAGUAGAAGGCAAGAGUGAAUCACCACCCAAAACUUUUUAGCAACCAAGCUAACUAGAGUCAAAGAUAUUUUAAUCAAUAUUAGAGACUAAUCCUCCAACAAUACUCAGUUUCAGAUAAUACAUCAUCAAGGAGUGAUUUACUACAUCCAAAACUCCAUGAAAUCCAACACCAUGAACUAAACGCAACCAAAUGAUAUCGAUAAAGGUAAAGUCGAUAAGCUAACAUGGAAAAACCAUGCAAGCCACAACACAAUCCUCCGCAACACCUUCAGGUAAAGCAAGUCCAUCACUGCUAAAUUAUUAUCCAGCAAAGCAAGUGUCAAACAAUCCUCGACAAAGUCUAUAAGCAAUCACUAGUUGCCAAACAACUAACAAUUAUUCUUUCAACUUGCCUUCACAAAACCCAAACACUAAACUCAUGUCAUCAAGUUAUAUAUUUGUCCAAUAUGAAUGUAAUACCCCAGAUAUGAGAUAUUGGCUCAUAGACAAGCACAAACUAAAUGACCACUUAAAUCCAACUCAACUGCAAUAAGCUCAUUAAUGUGUUUAGCCAACAGCUCUGAGCAUGCCUUGAAGAGGCUAGUUAUGCAUGAUCAACAUUUAGUCAAAACUAAAGUGUAGACCAUGAGAUGAACUCAUAUUGGUACACAACUUCCUCAUAGACAAAGCUAUAAUACGGGUAUCAACAUCUUAACCUUAAAUAACUAAGUUGGAUAUCACUUUCUUUAGCCAAGGUGUAGGGCUACCAACAUUAAAUCAAGAUCAGUGAGAGUUCACUACUCUCAUAGAAUCUAACAAAUGCAAAGUGCAACUUGCCACCAAGCACAACGCUAUAGAAGAAAAGCACAACGGUCACCCUUCUUAGAAAAGUGCAUAGCCACUUUUCUAUAUCAAAUCCAGACUUUAUCCAACUCAAUUGCCUUAGCCCCAAAUGUUAGCAUCCCUUUUGAGCCGCAUCAUAAAAACUACUUACUAAGAUCCAAGCCAACCGAAGUCAAUUCUAACCUCUUCACUAGUUUGUACUGGCUUUCAAAAAUGGAAUGGUUUCGAGCAAAGUGAUUAAUUAAAAAAAUUAUUGAAAAAUUUUUCCAUCCUAGAGAAAGAAUGACUCUCAGUCCAGGAAUGCAAAUUUUCAAGACUCAACCAACUUCCUCUUACUAAUAACUUCAUAUAUGUUCACUUUAACACUAAUUCUCACGACGCACAAUAUAUCUAAGCAUUGAACAUCUUGCCCAUAUUUUCGACAUCCAACACCAAUAUUUGCAAAAUGCAAAAUAAACAUCCAAGACUCAAUCACAAAGACUAUAUCUUUAAAUAUUCACAUUGCAUUAACACUCUUCUUCAAUCACUUUCAAGAUCUAAUGUGAAGCCAAAACACUAACAAGAAAAAUGACAUGAAACAUCAAGGUCUAAGGAAAAUUCUUUAUCACUCAAAAUAACAAUGCCACUUUCACUAACACAAGUGUUAACAAUGUUAAUGCCUCAACUUUACACCUUUUCCAUACAAUAAUCUACUUCAAGUGUUAACGGAUAAACCAACAAGCUAAUUUUUUUUUUCCAAAAACAUUUUUCCCAUGACUUUAGUAUGGCAUAUUCUACCAUCAAUAAAAUACCUACAGUUGUAUGUGAACACUAUCAUGAUCAUUAGUAAUAACAUCUUCGAGCAUCCACUUGAAUCUCCACUCUUAACGUGCAUAACCACCCUUAAUUAUAUCUUUUGAAUCCUAUGGUUCAAUUUUAUUCCUUUAUUACUUGGUUUCAACCUUACAUGUUCCCUUUGAUUAUUCUUCCUCUAAGCAAGAAAAAUAACUUCGCACUUUCUACCUUGCAUUAACAAGUAUUUUUAAAGAUGAACUUUUGUGGUUCCUCAAUUUAAAUAUGCUCACUUUGUAAUCCCACACACUGGGAUUAGCAUUGCUACUCAUAGCCUUUAUGUGGCUAUCACUAGCCUAGCCAAAAUCCAUUUUGGAUUUGUCUAAUUUUGGAUAGACGGACUUUUUCUGUCUUUAACUUUCCACAACAUUGGACAUUGGAUAGUAUUUUAUAUCUAUUAUUUUUUAGGGACUUAGUUCUUAGGGCUUUAUCUAAUGCCCUCGUGAUACCCAACACCACUUUUUAGGUGCUUAAGAGUGUUUAGGUGUCCCAAUGAGCAUUUCCUUUUACGACCUUGAUUCACUAUAUCACAAUAUACACAAUUUAUCCCUCAAGAGAUAUUUUUUUUCCUUCUUAUCGCAAUAAGAAGUCUUAAGAAGUUGACUUCCACUAAUUUAAUUAAUUACACUAUACAUUUUGCUUAGUUGCUUCAUAGUCGUUAAGUUCUAUAACUCAUUGUUAGUGCUUCCACACCUUCAUCAUUAUUUGGGUCUACACACUUAAAUUACAUACCUUCCAGUUUAGGCUAUGUCAAUCCCAUUUCUAUUAGGAUUCCUUUGGUAAAGGGUUCUCAAGAACCAACUUGAGUUCAAUGCUUCAUCCCUUUCUUUGCCAAGACCAAAGUAGUUGUUUCUUAUACCAACUAUCAGCUAGCACUACACCAAGGCAUAACAAGUCUAAAAUGUGAAAUUGCCCAUAUUAAACCUCAUGCCAGUUGGAAAGUUUGCAAAAGGAAAAGCCUUGGCAAGCUAAAGGAUAAAGUCACUUCAAGGUUCCUAAAGAAAAUUCUAGGUAGGUUAGUACUUAGAAAGACAAAUGUAAAUGGUUUAUAAAAACACAAUGAGGUGAGGUUAUUAAGGUUAGGGAAUUAGUUCCCAAAAGCUCUAUUUCGUUAAAGUGGGAAUUGUCAUUAUCCCACUUGUAAAAUAAGGUUUCCAAACCUUUAUAUAGUAUAUAAAUAUAACAAAAUUCAACUGCAUUGAGGCACAUGCCAUUUUAUUUUAAACAAGGAAAUGUCUACUUCAUCACUUUUCCUCCCCCUGCCACUGGCUCACCUCUCUCUUCUCCUUAUCAUCGUCGUCCAAUUUCUUUCUAUCCUUUUAAUAUUGGCUCCGUUGCUCCGAGUCUAGGUGGAGCCCAAGUCCCCAUUUAAUCUUUACUUUCCCUUUAUUCAUAAAACAACUUCGUAGACUUCCAAUAACAUGCUGUAACACUUCUAGUAUAAUGCAAAUCCUCUCAAAGAAUUGUCUUUUAAUAUUAAUACAAUGGCAUGGAACCCCAUGCCAUAAUAAGUUACAUUUUUAAAUAAAUACAUGCCAUCUCAGACUGUUAUUUUUUGCCUCCAACGCCUAUACAAUAAUCUUGGAAUUUCAUCACUCUCCACACUAUCAGGAUUUAAACCCAAUAGUAAUGCCAUCUCUUCUCUAAUAUGUCCACGCUCAUGUUCAGUGGUUGAAGAACCCAUCCGGUUGAGCAGAUUAUGGAGAUGCGGAUAGUGCUUGGCUAGACAAUAUACAUGCCAUAAAUGAUGACUGGUGUCUGUCCGAUCAAAUGGCUUCUGAUAUACCGUUCCAUCUGCCAUUUGGUUGAUUUCUGCAGCCACCUCCUGGACUGGCCGGUUCUCUAUCACCAUCGCUCCAAGCCGUUUUGCCAAGGUCCCCCAGAACAUACGGUCCUUCUUCGACGUGCCACUAGUGCGCUUUUCAGUCCUCGUGUCUGAAUAUUCAUAACGAUCUAUAAUUAAAAUGGCGUGAGGCCUCACGUGACCUUACCUGGUGCAGGUUGUGAGCUCGGCCCAACAUGGGUAUCUUCAACAGUAGCUGUUAACGCCGUUUCAGCAUCUGGAGGUGGCCACGCUCCUGCAUAUAGAGCUUGUGAGAUAACAUUUAAACUUAAAGUGCGUACUCACCAGGUUCGCAGAGAAAAUACUGUUUUUCUUUGGCAACUGUAAUUAUAUGCUCCAUUGAAGUCACCUCUUCAAUGGAGUUUGUCACCGCAACACACGGGACACCCUUGAGUAGUGCGGCUCGAAAGAAUAGUCCGCCGCAGUUGUACUCGACAACGCAUUUGCCCUUGGAGUCGGAAGCAGGUGACCCACCCGCUAUUGCGUUAAAGACCCAGCUGAGCAUUUCCCAUGCUGCACCUGGAGCUUUCUCUGGAUUCGAAAGCUCCAUAGCCGUCUUCAGUUCCUCAGGCACGGGUAAAUUGACCUCCCUCAGAUCAAUUCGAUCGGCCUUGUCGAACGAAGCUGGGAAGUCACUCCAGUCCCACUCUGCUGCAGGACCAAUAACAAGGGCGAGUGUGAAGAUGCGGACAUUCGUCGAUAUCUUCUUCUUAGCCAUUAUCCCAUGGAUCUCCCGCAUCUCCUUGCCUUUCAACCGAGCCUUCACCUCAUUCAAGGCCUUCCAGAACUUGUGAUAGGAUUCGGAGUCGUAGAUCAUAUAGUGGACUAAAGAUUCCACCUCCGCAAGUCCCACCAUUAAGUCAAUGAUGGAGCUGACUUCGUCUGCAUGAGUGAUCUCCUCGUUUGUGAAGUCCAUCACACAAAAGAUGUUCUUGACCUGCUCAUCUCCGCGGGAAAUGAUGCUCCUCCACCUUUGAUCCUCAUCCGAAUUCACGUAUACCCGGUAAGGUUCUCAAUAGGCCUCUGUUGCGAGGUCGACCUGUUUCUGAAGCCGGCGGUCGACAUCCCUCUUAAUGAAAUUUGGAUACUGAUCCAACUUCUCAGCUUUACUUUUCAUGGCAUCCCGCAGCAAAUCGAUGAACUUGGGGGCCCCCUUCACGUACUCGUCGAUGUCUUCAUUUGACUACUUCAGCUCUUCCAUCAUCUCUUGCGUGGUGUCGAUGCUCACCCUCUCCAUGGCCACUUGCUCAAAGAUCCAAUCCUUCAAUAGCGCACGAGCUCUUAGAGUCGUGCACAAGUCCUCGUAUGUCACAAUAUGGCCGGGAGUCAUUUUGGUCUUGUUGAAGACUACCUCACCACGUAGAAGAGCAUUAGCCACUGUCAGAAGGUCGUCGUCGUCUAGAGACUGCGAGAAACACAAGGCGUUGAGCUUCAAAUCAUUGGGCUUCCGGCUGUCCUCCACACCCAUUGAGUUUAGCAACUCCCCGUCAUGAUACCUCCUCAACACAUCUACCCAUUUGUCAAAAACAACUUUUGUCGCGAGUAGAAUGUUAUGGAUGCUGAGUGUGUCAUUGACCCCCAGUGUUUUCGAGAGAAGACUCGAGAAUUCCUGCAAUGGAAAUGGCGUGAGGCCACAUGCUAUGCCACAUGCAACGAGGCUUACCUACCACGCGCUAGUUGCUAGUGCACGUCCUUGUCCUGGUUUUUGUGGCUUUGGUGGGUGUAGUGUUCGAACCCGAGGCAAUGGCAUCACCGAGUAGCUUCUUUUUUGGAGCAGGAGAGUCGGACGUCGGCUUGAGCUUGACCACCCUUUUCUGCUUCGGGGUAGUUUUCAGAUCGACCCCCUUCCCCUUCGCUUCGCGAACUGGAGUCACUCUCAACGGCUCAAUGUUGGAAUAUAGUUUUUGAACAUCGCCGUAGGUGAGGUCUGUGGAUUCCAUGUGAUCUUCAUAGACCCGCAGCAUCUUUGAAAUUGUGAGCCUCCUGGACAACCUCUCCCUAGCUCCCUCUAGGAAUUCCUCAUAGCCGCUGCCCCCCUCCGGGAAGCCGCUAGGAUGUGCAAGGUGGAUCUUGAAGGCGGACGUUGUCUCUACCACAAGUGCCAGUCCAUAUUCUUGCAUGGAACUGCAUGGAGUGUCUGUCACUUGGAUGAGGAUCCCCAUGCAUUCUUUUCUCCCACCAUCUGUGUUGUACAGCCUCAGAUCCUCACCUUCCAUCCUGAAAGUCCAACUGGUGAGCUCCUCCCCCUUCUCUGCAUCCACAUUGAUAGUUGCUGGAAGAAGAACACAAUUCCUCGCUUGUUCAGAAAUGCACAACAAUUAGAGCUGACAGAUGAAAAGCUAGCAGCUGGAAAUAACGUGAGGCCACACGCCAUUCACUAUUGCAUCAGAUGUCUUGAGGCUGCAUCCUAAGAUGGCGUGAGGCUACACGCCAUCUGUAACCGGACUGCACUCGAGAGCCCAAUCGGUGCAUGCCAAUGUUGCUACUGAAUGGCAUGUGGCCUCAUGCCAUUUUCUACUUGGCCUAAAAGACUUACCAUUUGAAGCCGAAUGGAGGCGUGACAAUCGAGGCCGGACUCGCUGGCGAAUGUGCACUGUGUGUGCAGCGGAUCGUAGCAGCAAGGCUACUCUGCCACUUACAGUUGGAGAGUGGCGCUGAAAUCUUCCGGGACGCCAAGUGGGCUGCGUGUGGGUGGCGGAGUGGGCGGCGGAGUUGGCGGCGAAGUUACAAACUGGGUGUGUCUUGAAGUGGACGCCGAUGCACACGAGCGCGAUGCGAGCGCGAGUGUGAUGCAAGCGCGAGUGGACGCCGAUGCACACGAGAAACCUGUAGAGAAGGUAGAUGAGCGCGAAUGUGAGCGUGAUCGCGAGUGGGAGCGCGAUGCGAGCGCGAGUGUGAUGCGAGCGCGAGCGCGAGUACUCAGCAAAAUGCAAAACCUAACCUCACACGCGCGAAAUGUCACUAAUCCCGCAACGUCAUCAUUCCUCGGACUUGGGCGCCACCAUUAAUUUCUGGAUCGCCGCGCGCAUGCAUGCACGUGAAAUCCAAAAGAAAUCCGCAACGUCAUCAUUCCUCGGACUGCAUGCACGCGAAAUCCAAAAGAAAGAUCAUGAUUGGGAUAUCAUUUAAUACCCUCGCUAUAUUUAUACCAUGCAUGAUUGGAUAUUCCAAAGCAUCUUGUAUUUCCAAAAAUGGCAGAUGUUCAGCUAAAUAAAGAAAUUCUAUCUGUUUCUAUUUUUCUCUCAAAUCAAUAUUAUAGCGUGUGGGCUCAUGCAAUUUUGAACCAAAGAAACCCAAAAAACGUUGGACCCAAAAUAUUUUGAAAAAACCUAAAAAACCCUAAACAUUUUAAACCCAAAAAUCCAGGCGUCCUGUGGCGUUAUUCUUUGAAUGGCGUGUGGGCGCAUGCCAUUUUCAGGGCCAAAUGCUGAAUGGAGAAAAAUUCCCUUUCAGUGCAAAUGCUGCAAGAGGCAGAUGCCGAGCACAAAGGACUGUAACUACCUCACAUGACACAGAUAAACUUUUCUCUAUUUGGCAAAGAUAAACUUUAUAGCGUGUGGGCUCAUGCAAUUUUGAACCCAAAAAAUGCACCAAAAAAUUCUCGGCGUCAUCUGGCAUUAUCUCUUGAAUGGNNNNNNNNNNNNNNNNNNNNNNNNNNNNNNNNNNNNNNNNNNNNNNNNNNNNNNNNNNNNNNNNNNNNNNNNNNNNNNNNNNNNNNNNNNNNNNNNNNNNNNNNNNNNNNNNNNNNNNNNNNNNNNNNNNNNNNNNNNNNNNNNNNNNNNNNNNNNNNNNNNNNNNNNNNNNNNNNNNNNNNNNNNNNNNNNNNNNNNNNNNNNNNNNNNNNNNNNNNNNNNNNNNNNNNNNNNNNNNNNNNNNNNNNNNNNNNNNNNNNNNNNNNNNNNNNNNNNNNNNNNNNNNNNNNNNNNNNNNNNNNNNNNNNNNNNNNNNNNNNNNNNNNNNNNNNNNNNNNNNNNNNNNNNNNNNNNNNNNNNNNNNNNNNNNNNNNNNNNNNNNNNNNNNNNNNNNNNNNNNNNNNNNNNNNNNNNNNNNNNNNNNNNNNNNNNNNNNNNNNNNNNNNNNNNNNNNNNNNNNNNNNNNNNNNNNNNNNNNNNNNNNNNNNNNNNNNNNNNNNNNNNNNNNNNNNNNNNNNNNNNNNNNNNNNNNNNNNNNNNNNNNNNNNNNNNNNNNNNNNNNNNNNNNNNNNNNNNNNNNNNNNNNNNNNNNNNNNNNNNNNNNNNNNNNNNNNNNNNNNNNNNNNNNNNNNNNNNNNNNNNNNNNNNNNNNNNNNNNNNNNNNNNNNNNNNNNNNNNNNNNNNNNNNNNNNNNNNNNNNNNNNNNNNNNNNNNNNNNNNNNNNNNNNNNNNNNNNNNNNNNNNNNNNNNNNNNNNNNNNNNNNNNNNNNNNNNNNNNNNNNNNNNNNNNNNNNNNNNNNNNNNNNNNNNNNNNNNNNNNNNNNNNNNNNNNNNNNNNNNNNNNNNNNNNNNNNNNNNNNNNNNNNNNNNNNNNNNNNNAACCCAAAAAUGCACCAUGCAAUUUUGAACCUAGAAAUGCACCAAAAAAUGCUGGACUAGCAUUAUUCUUUGAAUGGCGUGUGGCCUUAUAUUGCCAUAAAUGGACGCUCACACACAGCAUAAUUAUUCCUUUACACGGCGAAUAAUCUUGGCGCGGAUCGCUGACAUGGCAUGGCAAAGUUCGAAUCACUGACAUGGCACAGCUGGAUCGAGGCAAGGACAUGAUGUGACAAAGUUCAACGUUUGACAGCAAAGUCUAGAAGCUACUCAGUUUGAAAUUUGUCAAAGGAAUCAUAAGAUCUGGUUUGUCAGAGGAUUUGAUGUGACGUUCAAGCGUGUGUUAUUUUUGAAUUCUCGAACUCAUUCCUAGGUCUAUCAUUUUUGUGCGCCGUGUUCUUGGUUCCGCUGAGCGCAGUGAGCGCUGCUUGUGUAAGCGGCGUUGUGAGCUGUGGUUUAUGCGUCUACGAGCGGUUGUGGCAUUGCAAGCGCCAUUGCGAGCGGCAGUUUAUGUGAGUGGCAGUUUGUGCGAGCGGCGCUACGAGCAGUUGCGGUGUUGCGAGCGGCGCUACGAGUAGUUGCGGUGUUGCGAGCGGCACUGUCUUUGGUGUGGCUACUGCUUCCUUUUGAUAUUUGGCACUUGUGCUUCCUGGUAUGUUCACCAUGGAAUGGCUUAGGACCACAUUUAGAAAUGGCAUGAGGCCACAUGCCAUCUUGGGCCCUUGCAAUUUCAUGGCUAGCGUAUUGUCAUGUAUGUUUUUACUUGCCUGCAGCUGUGUGUUUAUCAAGAUGGCAUGAGGCCUCAUGCCAAUUUUGUGAAUGCGAAAUUUCACGUGGGUGUCAAUAGCAUGUUUGAAUAAUGGCAUGUGGCCUCAUGCUAUUGAGGUUGUUUGGUAUGUUAUGAUUUAGGCCAUUCUCCAAUCAUUUUUUGUAUGGUCUUAACUUCUUUUCUGCACUUUCAGAAUGGCCUCCGCAAGUGCGACGCAUGUUCCCUCCGUGGAUCUUAAGAACCGUGCUACAUGGAUUCAGGCAAAGGUGUUUCUAAACAACCCCGAGGGGGAGGUGGUAGCUGAGGGCUUAGCCACAGUUUUCGAUCCAAGAGAUGCGGUUGCUAAUCAAGAAUUGGGCUAGGAUAAUAUUGGAGUUGCGAUUUUAGAGGUUGUUGACACAGAAGAAAAUAGUCUGACUAUUGGAAGCAUUGUGUGGUGGAAAUUGAGGCACUUAGUGUUUGAGAAUGUGAAGGAUUCACAAUCAAACACCACUACAACUGAUGACAGAACAUCUCUUCAUGGGAAAAGAAAGUACACCUUCCUAAAGCGCAGCCAAAGGGAUCUGAGCAACGAACCGAAAAGGCAGAAAAUGGCGAUGGAAGUUUGAAUGGUCUUGACAGUUGCUUGUUGCAAGAGGAGGUGUUGUCAACAUGCUGAUUGGGAUGCUAUUGAAGAGGAGAGAGCAAGAUACAAGACAUUGUCCUGGAAGGCAGCUCGCAAUUUUGUGUAUGAGGCAUUACGGUCAUCUGUUGAUGCUUCAGAACAUCAGGUGGGGGGCAUGGUCUUCCAGAGGGGUUUGGUCUGCAUGAAGGCAUGGAGAAUCAUUUAUGGAGUCCCUCGAACCACAUUCUACAGAAUCAAAACUGAGUUCGAGGAACAAAGGGUUCAACAGGCAGUCCAUGGGAACGACGGUACUCACAAAACCAGGGGUCAUGUUGUAUAUGGAGAGGCAAUCUUCAAGAGGUUUGUCGAGACAUGUAGCGAGCAGCAACCACAUAAAACCCACCUCUUGGAAGAUGGAACUCAAAACACCCAACGAGUUCUCCCUUCCAUGUAUACCAAGGGGGCCAUAUUGGAAGAUGUGAAUCGGGAACUCCAGAGUAAUGGCUACAGGAAGCUGAGCCAAUCUAGAUUUAGUAGAUUGUGGAGCAACAGGUUCAGGGAUGUGAGUAUAGGAAAGUACUCCAGCUUUUCAAAGUGUGACGAGUGCACUGCUAUCAAAAUGGCUUUGUCGAAGAAUUCUUGCAUCGCUCAAGAGCGAGAGACGUUGGUUAGAAGGCGGCUCGACCACAACAUCGAGCAGAGAAGCUGCAGGACUGCAUAUUAUCAUAACAGGAUUCUCUCCAUGGAGAGACCUGACUCUUACCUCUACAUCAUCCACGACAAAAUGGACCAGAAAAAGACGUGCUUACCUCAACUCAAUCCUGCCCCCAAGGCAAUCUCUUCAUCCAUGCAGCUGCCUGUGUCUCUAUUUGGCAUAAUCGCUCAUGGGCAUGGUGCCCAGAACUAUGGGAACUUCUUUGUACCUCUAUGGGGUGGCGGGGGUGCAAACAUGAUGAUUGCGUCCCUAGCAAAACACUUAAGGUCUCUGCAAAGUGCGCAGACUGAGCUGAACGGCCAACCCUUGCAUAAGGCCCUUGUCGAUCGAACCCCAUACAGGGUUCAGCUGGAGGAGGAGCAAAGGCUUGCAGUAUCGUGUGGGGCCCCAUGCCAUCCCAGUGAAUAUGUUGGCCAUUAGAUUGUAGGGUUAGGAAUGACGUUCAUCUUGGAAAGCUCACCACACGCUCAAUGAACAAACAAAUAGUGUGUGCGCGCAUGCCAUCGCUCUUCUUUAGCUUCAGAUUCAGCUUGUUCACCUUGACAAUGAGAUUUAUUAUACAACCAGAUGGACUCAGUCUGGACACAAAGUCACCGCGCUAGUCACCAUGCCCCAGAUAUGUCUAGCUCCUGGACAAAAAACAUAUAAUUUCACAUCAUUUUCAAAUACUUGAAAAUUUGUACCUAGUCCCAUUUUACUGAAUAAAUCCCUCUUUAACGAAAUAGAGCUUCCAAGUGUCCAAAAAGAUGGCUUUAAAUGAAGUUGAUAGUUAAAGACUUUUACACUUAUGCAUGAAACCAUAUUAUACUGGUUAGGUGAUUUGCUAAGCAAGAUUAGCAAGUCAGGAGAAUAAAGACCCUGGUUGAAGGUGUUGACUUCAAAAGGGGGUAGCCAAUGGGGCCAAGCAUGGAGGAGUCUAUGCAUGAUCAUAGACUUAUCAAGUGAGAGGAUUUGGUAGUUCAGAGAAACUGAGUUUUUAAGUUAUAAUCUAUAGUGCACUUUAGGUAUAAUUUGGUGCAUCAAUGCGGGCAGUCACACUAGGCAUCCUGAGUGAUGUUUGUGAGAUAUAAAUCCCUAAGCCCCAAAAUGGAGCCGAAAGGGCACCACGUGGUAGUGGCUGAAGUGGAAGCCAAACGAGUGUAAUAUAUUUGGACUAAAAGCUCUAACUUGGAUAGUUAUAAGUGGGAGUGGAACUCCUAACGAAGUGCUUGAGAAAUGAGCACGAAACAAGUAGUAAGUGAGUCUUUAAAAAAGGAACACAAGAGGAUAACCACAUGACACGUGGAAGUGUCAAGAUGAACCCAUGAUGGACCCAAGAUAGAGUCCAAGAAGGACUCCGAAAUGGACCUGAGGCAGAGUCUGAGAUGGACCCAAGAAGGAGUUCAAGAUGGACCUGAAAUAGAGCCUGAGAUGGAGUCGAAGAUGGAACCAAGACCAAGAAUGAGACUGAGACUGAGACUGAAACCAAGACCGAGAUAAAGUCUGAGUCCAAGAUUGAAUCCGAGUCCAAGACUGAGUUUGAGUCCGAGACCAAGUCCGAGUCCAAGAGAGAGUCUGAGACCAAGUCCAAGUCCAAGUUUGAGUCCGAGUCCAAUGCCAAGUCCAAAUACUAGUACAGACAAUUGGGUGAAAGCCCAAAGCAAUCAUCCCCAUAGGGGGGAGGGGGGCUGUAGGGGGUUCCAAAAGUAUAGUAGGGAGAGUGUGGGAAUUGGACUCUAAUGGAACUAGUUUGGCCAGGAAAUGCCAAUGUGACGCAUGAAAGCUAUACUCACGUGUUGGGUGAUGAUAUAACCACUGAGGAGUCCAAGGCUAAAGUGAAUAUAAAUAAAUAAGCGGGGUAGCUUAAUGAAGUGUUCAAAAGUCAACUCUAGCUCCCUUGGGAGAUCAAAUGGACAAUGCUUCUAAUCCAAGUGUGAACGGCACUACUGACUUGGAUACCUGGUGUGGCUCAUCAAAACCUCACUCUAGCCCUAUGGCUAAGGCACUCAAAGGUGGAAGGUUUGGAGAGUACCCACGAGGUUUGUGUAGAGCCAUGGUGUUUCGAAAUGUUGUCCCAAAUUCCUAAACUAAGAAAAGGAGGAGAAACAAUCCUCUUAUGUGAUGACUAAGGAUGCAGUCAUAUAAAAAGGAAGUCCUAGAGGUUGGUGGGACAUAGUGGUCAGGCCUUUGAGCCCUGACUCAAUGGUAAUGUUGGCAAACACGGCUAUGGAUGGAAAGUGAUUUGGUGGGGACUGAAAAAGGGAUAUUAAGGAAGGUUAUUCCCCAUGUCUAUAGAUAUUAUAAGGAUGCUAAGGAGUGGAUCUAGGAUGAUCACUCCUAGACGGAUAGCCUAGUCUUUGAGAGAUAGGGCCAUGAUAUAAGUGGUGUUGGACCAUAAAAGUGGCAAAAGUGAAUAGGCAUGGCUUUAGCAUAAUGUGUUGAUAUGUUUGUGGUACGUUUGGGUGUUGGUCAAAGGAUCAGACACAUAAAGGACUUGGACCAAGUCCAAAAGUUGAGUGGUAUAGGUGUUAUUCUUAGGGUUAACAAGUCCCUAAGUUUGGAAUAGGACUUAUAAAGGUGAUGAGUGAGACUCUUCUAAGUGGUCGGAGGUGUGGUUAAAUGACUAAAGUAGAACAAAAAAAUUAUUCAUUUAUAAUUUGGUAUCAGAGUUGUUCUUUAGUCUGACUCUUAUUAAUGGUCAAGUAUAUCACCAUUUGUCGUAGCAUCGAAAGAUCCCGAGAGUGGGUCUAUCCUUAAGGAGCAACAUGUUGAAAAAGCAUAACUCUCCACCUUAGUUCAUAAGUGAAUAUGUUGGCAAUGUGGUGGAUAAAAGGGGGCCAAUAAGGGAACAACUUUUGAAUCUUGGGAACAGUAUAAAGUUUUCUUUAGAGAGUUAAAGAUGUGAUCCAAAUAAGCAUUUGACUUAGCAAAUUGGCUAAUAUAGUUGUGGUAAAAAACUAUAGUUGGGAUCACAGAAAAGAUAGAGACGCCUCCACAAUAUGAGGAUAAUGUUAUGACUCCUUUAUUAUUUUGGAGUCUGAAUUUGAGACCAGAGUUAAUGACUGUGAGAAGUCAAAUAUGGAUGAGGAUACAAGUCUUUGAAAUGGUAAUCUAGGCUACCUUUAAUAAAUGCUGGAACAAACCCAAGGAGUUAGGGGUGUAUUUAGAGAAUGAGUUGGUAUUUUCAUCAUAUGGACAAAUAGUCAUAAGAGGCAAACGUAACCCAUAAGAAACAAAAAAUAAUCAAGUGUCAGAGUAACACUUGCAAAAAAUGGUCCUUAUGAGUAGGACAUGAAUACAAGAAAUUAUAUUUCAAUGAAUUGGCACAUCAAAAUUAGCCAUGAGGCUAGAACCUUACUGAUCGUCGAAUUAACAAAGUUCAAAAAGCUAAAUGACUCGAAUGGAGUCAAGGAAUGGUCCUAAAGGAUUGGUGGAAGCAUUUGGACUGAGGUUUGUUGCACUCUAUAAAGGAUGAGGAGGAUCAUAAGAUUUAAAUAUGAGAACAGUGGGUAUUUCAUUGAUAGUAGAAUGUGUUAUACUAAAGUCGUGGGAAAUGUGUUUCUGAAAGAAAGAAACUUUCGCACAAAAUUUGUAUGUGAACACCAUAGUGUAGUGCUAACUGAUAGUUAGCAUGAGAAAUGACUACUUUGGUCUUGGCAAAAACUUAAAUACAAGUGGAAAGUGUUGUAGGGUAAGCUCGUAAAGCUGAUAGUGUGAAGACACUAAAUGUGUUAAAGUGUUAUACCUUGAGAUCAAGUUAGUGGGUUUAUGAGAACCCUUUACCAAAGGAAUCUUAAUGGAAAUGGAAAUGGCAUAUCCUAAGCUGAAAGCCAUGCAAUUAAGAUGGGGUGACCCAAAUAAUGAUGGAGGUGUGGAGACACCAGCAAUGAGUUGUAGAGCUUGACAACUAUGAAGCAACUAAGCAAAAGGUGCAAUAUAAUUAUUACAUUGGUAGAAGUUAACUACUCAAGAUUUUUUAUUGGGAUAAUAAAAUUAUAUAUAUCCCUCUAGUGUUUUAAAGUGUCUAAGUAUCCCAAUGAUGGCUUUCUUUGACAAUGAGCAUUUCCCUUUUAGACAUUGAUUUAUUAUAUGAUGUAAACACUUACCAUAAAUAACAUUUGGGACUAAAACAAAACCAACAUAUAAUAUAUGAUAGUAAGGGUGUCUGAUGGAGUAUCUUUCGAUACUUAAAGUCAUGGAAGUGGUGUUUAGUAUCAUAAGGGUAUUAAAUAAAGCUCAAGGGACUAAAUCCGUAAUGAAUAAAAGAUAUUAUCCAACAUCCAAAGUUGUAAAGAUGGGAGAAGUUUAUCUAUCUAAAUUGGACAAAGCCAAAAGAGAUUUUAGCAAAGCUAAUGACAAGCAUAUAAAGACUCGUAAGUAGUGACAUUAAUCCCGAUAUAUAGGAUUGCAAGGUGAGCAUAUCUAGGUUAAGGAACCACUCCCUAGGGUAUUGGGUAAAUUCAUCCUUAAGAAUACUUGCUAAAACAUGGUAGAAAGUGCAAAGUUAUCCUCCUAUCCUAGAGGAGAAUAUCCAAAAGAAAUGUAUAAGGUUAAAGAACAAAUAGUAUAGGGAUAAAACCAAACUAUAAAAAUUAAAGAGCAUAACCAAAGGUGUUUAUGCAAGUUAGGAAUAAAGAAUCAAGUGGGUGCUCGAAAGUCCUACUAACAACUGUGAUGCCAUAAAGAGUAUAAAAUAUUGAAUUAUCCAUAUUAAACCAUAUAGCAAUUAGAAGGCUUGCGAAAGGAGAAAGUCUUUAACCAUCGAGUUUCAUUCAAAACCAUUUCUUUGAACACUCAGGAAUUAUUUCCCUAACCUUGAUAGCCUUGCCUCAUGGCAAGCUUCAAAAUCAUGCUUUUACUAUGCCACUCUGAUUUCGCGUAUUUUAUAAACCAUUUAUAAUGGUUUUUCUAAGUACUAACCUGGAUUUUGUCCUUUAGUUUGUUAAAGCCUUAUGCGUAUGUAUAAAAUCAUAUUAUAUUGGUCAAAUGACUUGUUAAGUGAGAUUGGGAAGUCGGGGGAAUAAAGACUUUAGUUGAAGGUGUUAACUUCAAAAGGGGUGGCCCAUGGGGCAAGCAUGAAGAAGUCUAUACAUGAUCACAUACUUGUCAAGUGAGAGGAUUUAGCAGUUCAGGGGAACUAGGUUCCUAAAUUAUCAUUCAUAGCGUGUUUUAAGUAUAAAUUAAUAGACUAGUGUGGGGAGUCAUGCCAAGCAUCCUAGGUGAUGCCAUCCGUAAAUGCAUAUACGGAGGUUGAAUUCGAGUCCUAACCCUCUAGUAUUUGGGUUUGAGUCCCAACUUAGUACGAUGUGGUGAUGGUUUAAAAUAUGAGGACACUCAUCUGUCAUGAACUCUCAGUGAGGAGAUUGAUUUGGGCAUAUUGCCAAGCAAAGGAUGCCUCAGAGUCGUGAUGUAUGAUUAAAAUUGCUUAGAAUGAAGGCUUAGCAUAUCUAACUUAAACAUGGUGAAAAUGGCACCAAGGACGUGGUGAAUGAGAUGGGGAUACCCAAUUUUAGUUGCUAUGGACCUUAUCCAAAAGGGUUGACUUGGGUGCACUACCAAGUAUGGGGGAUGCCCUCGGGGUAAUAAUUAACAAUUUAAAGGUCUGGAAGGCCUAGUACCUAUUGGCAAACCUAUUAAAGUGCUAAAGUGAGAUCACUAGGUGAUUUUGUGGCUAAAUAAUGACAAUGUCCUUGUUUGGUUAAAGAAUAUGAUUCCUGGUUUAAAGUGUUGAUUUGAACUAUUAGUAAUUGUGUGACUUGAUCAAGGUGAUCCAGUGAGAAGGACACAUAAGGGAAAUGAGUUAGGUCAAUGCAAUAUUAUAGUGAGUCCAAGAAAUUAGUUUUUAGGAAAGACCCAUAGGAGGGUUACAAAUUGGGCCGUGGAUAAAACCCAUAACAAAAAAUGUUAAAGAGACCUACUAGGGGUGAACACUUUUUGGGUUUGGCAAAAUAGCAAUUUUGCUAUGGAACUAAAAUGAUAUCUUGAGGAGGGAGGUAAUGAUCCUAUGUUACUGGGUGCAACAAUCAAAGGAUAGGAGCAAAAGACUAGUGGCCAAGAUUAGACCAUAGAUAUCAUUGGAAGGAAUCCAAAUGGAAAUAUUAGGUGAGGAACAUUUAUGUAUUGGAUGCUAAUAGAUUGUGGGAAAGGAAAUUUAUUUCCAAGGAUGGAAUCCCAAAUGCUCCAAUUUAGCGAAGGUAAAAACUCCAUAAAAUAUGGAGUAGUAAAAGUACCCAAAUGAUAAUGCUAUUAAUGACUCUAGCAUAAAUUAUGGAUAAGUGAAACUUAAUGCCAAGGGUGGCAUGAAAUAAAAGAGAGGAUGAUGGUGCCCUUAAGUAAAUAAAUUCCUAGGAUAGGGAAAUAGAGUUUGCACAACAUAUGCAAUACAAGGUGUCGAAGACACCCAAGAAAUUGACUUUAAAAAGUCAAAAUUAAAAGUUCCAAAGUGUAAUAGUUAUGUUGAUAGAAAAUGAAAUUAUUCAGGAAUGAGUAGUGGGAUUGAGAUAGAUGUAUCUAACAGAUUUAGCAAAAACUAAACCAAAUAAAGGGAGAAAACCACCACAAGUGGUUUAAUAACUCUCUAAAUUGGAGAGACUAUGCUCUUUAGAGGAGGGGAAAUGCAUGGUGAGCCUUUAGUGUUAAACCAUUGAUGAAUAUUGGUUUGGUGCCAAAGAUGAAAAAUGGUAAUCCAUGAUGGGGUUACUUUAUAAAAUAGUUUAUUAUUUGAUGAAGACAUUGAACUUCGUGUAUAUGUAGUGGAGUUGUGAUACACAAAUCCCUAAGCCCCAAAAUUUAGCCGAAAGAGUGCCAUGUGGUAGUGGCCGAAGUAGAAGCCAAAUGAGUGUGGACUAGAAGCUCUGACUUGGAUAGUCAUGAGUGGGAGUGGAACUCCCAAUGAAGUGCUCAAGGAACGAGCACGAAGCAAGCAGUAAAUGAGUCUCUAAAAAAGGGACACAAAAGGAUUAAUAUAUAACACGUGGAAGUGUUGAGAUAGACAUAAGAUGGGCCUAAGAUAGAGUCCUAGAAGGAGUAUGAGAUGGACUUGAGAUGGAGUCCAAGAUCCUCAUCUAUCUAACCACCAUAGCCUUGGCCUUAGUUAAGUUUCCUCACUAAAGUACCUGCCUAUUGUACUAGUUCUCACUUGGUUCUACUUGGUUUCAGCAACUCGGUGCAUGUAGCAAUAGAACAUUGACCAUCCAUCCACAAUUUCCAGAUUCUCUCCCAAUCCCCUCCAUGAGUUAGACUACAUUUAAUGUUAGGCUACACUCCAUAUAAGCACAAGCAGCUAAGCACACCAAACUUCCAGGUUUUUAACAUUCCUUAGUACAACAAGAUUUCAUCAUAAAACCCUCUAAAUCCUAAGCCUUGAGUGUAACACUUGCUUUAGGACACCUGGGGGAACACCAUGGCCUAAUGUCCCAAUAUGGGUACCCUUAUUCCCCCACUUCCAUCCAGAAGAAAAAGCCCAAGCCCCUAAGAAGGGUGAGGACCAAUGAACCACCUAGCUACUUAAGUGGCCAUCAUUUCAUAUGAGCUGGAGCACCACAAUUGUUUCCACUUCAGGAGUGGGAGUACUCUNNNNNNNNNNNNNNNNNNNNNNNNNNNNNNNNNNNNNNNNNNNNNNNNNNNNNNNNNNNNNNNNNNNNNNNNNNNNNNNNNNNNNNNNNNNNNNNNNNNNNNNNNNNNNNNNNNNNNNNNNNNNNNNNNNNNNNNNNNNNNNNNNNNNNNNNNNNNNNNNNNNNNNNNNNNNNNNNNNNNNNNNNNNNNNNNNNNNNNNNNNNNNNNNNNNNNNNNNNNNNNNNNNNNNNNNNNNNNNNNNNNNNNNNNNNNNNNNNNNNNNNNNNNNNNNNNNNNNNNNNNNNNNNNNNNNNNNNNNNNNNNNNNNNNNNNNNNNNNNNNNNNNNNNNNNNNNNNNNNNNNNNNNNNNNNNNNNNNNNNNNNNNNNNNNNNNNNNNNNNNNNNNNNNNNNNNNNNNNNNNNNNNNNNNNNNNNNNNNNNNNNNNNNNNNNNNNNNNNNNNNNNNNNNNNNNNNNNNNNNNNNNNNNNNNNNNNNNNNNNNNNNNNNNNNNNNNNNNNNNNNNNNNNNNNNNNNNNNNNNNNNNNNNNNNNNNNNNNNNNNNNNNNNNNNNNNNNNNNNNNNNNNNNNNNNNNNNNNNNNNNNNNNNNNNNNNNNNNNNNNNNNNNNNNNNNNNNNNNNNNNNNNNNNNNNNNNNNNNNNNNNNNNNNNNNNNNNNNNNNNNNNNNNNNNNNNNNNNNNNNNNNNNNNNAUAGAGCCACAAGAGGCACAGAAUAUGACAGAGCAUGAGCGUGCCCACAUAUAAAAAUCUUCAUACGUAGAGGAAGAAGUAUAUAUAUAUAUAUAUAUAUAUAUAGCCAAAAACCCUAGCUUAUAUACAAGAGCGAGCGAUCCGGAUUGAAACUAAUCCGAUGGCUACCAAAAUCCCACUAUGCUUAUAUUAGUAUAUGGCAUCGUAGCUGUACACUUGGCCCUCACACACACACACAUACAUAUAUAUACUGUUUUGUUAAACCCAUUAAAGACACCUUCUCUAUCUCAAUCUUACUAUUUAUUCUGGAGUAAUCUCGCCUAUAUAUAUAUAUAUAUAUAUAUAUAUAUAUAUAUAUAUAUAUAUAUAUAUAUAUAUAUAUAUAUAUAUAUAUCUGUGUAUUUGUGUAUGUGUGUGUGUGUGAGGGCCAAGUGUACAGCUACGAUGCCAUAUACUAAUAUUAGCAUAGUGGGAUUUUGGUAGCCAUCGGAUUAGUUUCAAUCCGGAUCGCUCGCUCUUGUAUAUAAGCUAGGGUUUUUGGGCUAAUUGAUAUAUAUAUUUCUGUAUUCCCUUUUCAUAUUCCAUGCACUCACAUUGGUGGAGUUGAGGGGCACCUUUGAUUGUCCAUGAGGAGUGCUUGAAUUUGGGAUUUUAGUUUAGAUCUAGCUUUUGCUUUGUUUAGAUCUAGCUUUUUCCAUUCCCUUUCUUUUGUUCUUUCCUUUCAGGAUUUUGGUUUAAAUUUAGAUUUUUUGCAUUGUCUAGAUCUCCCAUUUCCUUCUCGCUUUUUUUCAUUUCUCUUCUUUUGCUCUUUCUUCGUCCAUCUUCAUGGUAGAUCAGCAAUCUCCUCCUUUGACUCUGGAGCAGUAGUUGGUACAAUUGCUUGAUGCUAUGCGCUUACAAUUGAACAACCAAACUCAAUUGAUGGCGGUGUUCACGGCACGUGGUACACCUCCUCCUGCUCUUGGUGCUAAUCCUCGCGUUCGGCCGGAGUCCUUUCACGGGAAUCCUGAGGAUGAUGUGUACCAUUGGUUUGAUCACUUCAUGGUGAUUGCCACAUAUCAUUCUUGGGAUGAUGCUCGAUGUUUGCAUGAGUUUCCCACGUGUCUCCAAGGGACGGCAUUGCAAUGGUACAAUGGUUUGAGCACAGUCACUCAUGAGGAUUGGAGUGUUCUCCCAGACAUCUUCAAACGCGCCUUCGGACAUGCUGACAACUGUGAUGAUGCCUUCCAACAAUUGCAUCAUCUUCGCCAAGGGCCAUCUGAGUCGGUGAUGCAAUUUGGCAUUCGUUUCUGAAGUUUUUUGCUUCGUGCGGAGCCAAAUAUGUUAAAGCGGAUCAAGCUAGGAAUGUUGUGGCUAGCACUUCGUUAAGAUCUUGUCGGACUUGUCCAUGCACUUUCUCCCACCACCCUUGACGAUGCUCUUCACUUGGCACAACAUUAUGAGAUGUUGCCUCUUCCACUUUUCGUUGCACAUCCUUUAGCUCCACUUCCUUUGGGUGAUGGUCCUGUUCCAAUGGAGGUUGAUGCUGCUGCUGCUUGAGUCCAAGGACAAAGUCGAGGACAUGGUCAUGGCGGUGAUGUUUGCUGCUGGGCGUGUGAUGAAGUUGGUCAUAUUUAUCAGUGUUGUCGGCGGUUUCCGGAUUGGCAACCUCCAUUUCCUAGGUGGAGACCUUGGCGUCAGCAACGUCCCGUUGGUGUUGCUGCAGUGGACGGUUUGGACACCAAGAUACAUCAGGGAAACGAGGAGUCACGCGAGUAAUGGAGGGACCUUGAGCAAAUAAGUCAGUGACCCCUCCAUCUUUCUUUCAGGAGUAUCAUCAAGGUGUUCACUCAGCACCGGUUCAUUCAGUGUUUACUUUCCAAGCUCGUUUUUAUAACAAGAGGUCUCCUAUUAUUCUCUCUAUGUUAGUUGAUACAAGUUCGAAUUUAUCUUCUAUUGCUCGACCUGUUGCCACACGUUGCUAUUUACACUUGCAUCAUGCGAUGGAACUAGUUUUCAUUCUUUAUGGCAACAGCCGUACACAUGCAUGUGCACGGGAUGAGGUGGACCUGGUUGUGCGUAUGGGUGAUCUCGAGCUUGAGUUGCAGUCAUUGCAGGUGGUGCCGAGUCAAACUUUUGACCUCAUUCUUGAUAUGGAUUGGUUGCAGUGCAAUCAUGCUAAGUGUGAUUUUGAGGCUUCUCCCCCUUGUUUCAUCCAUUCCUUUCACUUCUGUACCUCUUUGUCCCUCUACUUUUACCUCUGCUUCCAUUACUUUUGUUCCCCCACUAUUUCCUUCUAUGUUUCCAUCUUGUUCUACUCUUCUCUUUUCUGAUCCUUCCGAUGAUCUUUGUGUUGCAGUGGUGGACCGACUCAUGAAGGAGUAUUUUGAUCUAUUUGAAUUUGACCUAUUGUCUGGGGCCAAGAUUGCCACACAUCAUCCAAUUCCAACCGGGGAUGCUCGUCCAAUCAAGGUUCCUGUUCAUUGUUGAUCACCCAAGGAGAUCCGGAUUUUAUGUGCAAAUGUUAAGGAGAUGUUGGAGAAGGGUGUUAUUUGGAAGUCGCGGAGUCCUUGGGCAUAUGAACCUCAUCUUGUGACAAAGCCUAAUGGGAGUAUUUGUUUCUGCAUCAACUAUCAUCCAUUAAACGAAGUGACGAUCCCGGAUGUGUACCCUCUUCCUCACACUGCUGAUCUCUUGGAUCGUCUAGGGUGAAGUCGUUAGUUCACCAAGUUAGAUCUUGCUUUUGGGUACUAGCAAGUACCGAUGGCCGAAGAAGAUAUUCCUAAGACUGCUUUUCGUACACCAUUUGGUUUGUACGAGUUCUUGGUGAUGCUGUUUGAUUUGAACAAUGCUCCAGCAACUUUCCAGCGGAUGAUGGACGAGGUUCUUUGUGAUAUGCCGGAGGUGACUCCUAACUUCAUUGAUGAUGUCUUAAUCCACUCAGAAGGGACGUGGGAGGAGCAUGUCUGUGAUGUUUGUAAAGUGUUGGAUUGGCUACGCGAUGUUGGUUUAAAGCUGAAGCGGUCGAAGUGCAUAUUUGGGUCCAAAGAUAGAACUUAUCUUGGGUACCGUAUUUCUCAUGAGGGUUUGCAAAUUGAUCCUGACAAACUUGUGGUUGUUCUAAAGUUCCCUACUCCGAAGUGUGUGAAUGAUGUGCAGUGCUUCUUGGGCAAGGUGCAGUAUCUCAGUCGUUUUGUAGAUCAUCUUUUGAUCGCAUUGCACUAUUGUGAGCAUUGCUAAAGUCAUCAACAUCAUCUUUUAUUUGGUCUCUAGAUUGUGAGCGGGCAUUCAGGGAUCUCAAAGAGCUGUUAACGACUCCUUCGGUUUUGGCAUAUCCUGACUACACUCGAUCUUUUAUUUUGCAUGUGGAUGCUUUUGACAUUAGUCUUGGACGUGUGUUGAUGCAAGAAAGCUCAAGUGUGCCUAGUCAGUGCCAUCCCAUUGCAUAUAUAAGUCGUAUAUUACAACCAACAGAAAUGAACUACUCCACGACAGAGGAGUGUUUAGCAGCAGUUUGGGGUUUUGAGCAACUUCAUGCAUAUCUACAUAGUUCUCGAACGUUACUUGAAGGUGAUCAUGUUGUUGUUACUUCAUUAUUGAAACGGAAGAACCUAGUUGGUCAUACUGCUCGAUGGGCUUUAAAGCUUAAGAUAUAUAAUUUUGAUGUUAUUCAUCGCCCAGGGAGUUCUAUGGCUGAUGCUGAUGCCCUUUCUCGAGCUCCUCUUCCUUCUCCAUUUUCUUCUCAUGUUUCUGAUGAGCUUGUUGUUCUAGCCUCUAUGGAUUUUCUAGACGAGGAUUUUGUGCCGUCGGCGGUUGCUAUACUUGACAUUCAGUGUCCAUAAGGCACAAAGCAAGAUCUACCUUCUCUUGAUGAGGUUCGCAAGGCUCAAAAGAUUGAGCCAUGGAUUUGAAGGCUUCGAGAUGGGUUUGAAAAUCUUGCAUCACUUGCUGAUGAUAUGCCUUUCCGGCAUUUACAUUCUCAAUAUCACCUAAAAGACGGCCUUCUUUAUUUUGUGGGGACAGAUCUUAAUGAUCAUUUACGGUUGGUAGUGCCUUUUAACAAGGCUUUUCAUAUUUAUCCUUUUUAAAACCAUAGAGGUCCGGUUUCGACAUGCUCGAAACCGGCAAAGAGCAUAUGGAGGGGUGGUGAUGAAGGGAGGAUCCCUGGAACUAGAGUUCGGUUCUGUGUAGAUCAGAUCAAGGAACUAGAGUCCGGUUCUGUGCCGCCCAAAUCCGUGCCACUCACUCCACAAGCGCGUGCUCCCUAUCUGUACUGGUGGUGAACUCCGCGCCUUAUCCAUGGUCCCUAGCCUCAUCUCUCCCAUGUGAAUGCGUCUACCAAUGUGAAGGACUUGAGUCAAUCGUGAGAUCAGUGAAGGUACACUGCCCUUGCUUGAUCUCCAUCUGUAUGGUGCCUACAAUUUCCCAGAGAUAUAAAAAGCCCCUGGAGGUGUACUGUCCUAGAUCCCAUGGUGCAAUGAACUGAGGAGGAAUGUGCCAUCUCUGGUAAUGGUGAUGCUACUGCUGCCUGGAAGUCCUUUCCUGGCUGCUGUGUGACUAAUCCCCUCCAACUGGGAUUGCUGUUUCCAGCCUCCCAUCAGGCCGUGCAAGUGUAGUGCCGCCACACCAGUCCCACUGCCUCAUACCAAUAUAGCCGUACCCUUGGCGCUAUCCAUCUGGAAUCACGACCAAAGGCGAGCCGCUCCUUUCGGAUCCAGGUUGAAGUUACGUUUCUGCACUCCAACAAGCUAGCCUAAUGCAGCUUUUAACACGAACCAUGCCCCUCGAAACAUCCCAUACAUCUAAAUGGCAUUGCUCCGAGUGCCUUGAUCAUGGUGGAUCCACAACCAAGGCAAGAAAGGGAUUAGCCAACAUAGCUGGAACUUCAGUGUGCCAUUGAAAGUUGUUCCGUUGCCAAUUGGAACUAGGUGUGCAAUCAGAAGGUAGGGAAAUGCUGCCACGUAGUUUGAAGGACCCGGUGCGUGUCAAAGAAUAGUGUCCUUUGCAUAUUCACACGAGCUGCUGUAAUGGCGCCAAGCGAGUGGUCCCCUCCUUAGGUGGAGUUUGGCUCUCCGGACCCCAAAACUCCAGACCCCAAGUGAAUGAGGAAGGAAGGACGCUGCCAAUGAGGUUCUGUGCAGUUAGUGUCCUUGGAAGAAGUUCUAGCAACCGUGGACUCCAAAGCCCCAAACUUGAACCAUGUUUUGACAUUUGGACGUUUGGAUCUCGCUCGUGAACCAUUGGAUUGCCACGAAGUUUUGCUGGUGUGUGCUCCUUCAGAGGAUCUAUCUUCCCACCGUUGCGAUCGGCGAAAAGGUACCUGGUUCAGCCGCAGCCGCAAUCCCUAGGUCGUCCAUAACCCUAGCCGCCACCAGAUAGGGUCGCCUUGAUCUCCUGAUUCCUAGCUCCAAAUCGCCUGUUCUUGGACUCAGAAUGAUUGUGGGGAUGUGCUCUCUCUAGCCGUGAGAAGGAAUCGUGGAAAAUUCCAGGUGGGGAGCUCGCAGUGACUAAAAGAGUACUCUUGACACUUUCUUGCUCAUGGAACAUGCAAAUCCAUUGAAACCAAGGCACAGCUUGCUCUCAGCAUCAUCCUUAUUGCUCUCUUAGUCCUAGUCCUACUCUGGAUCAAGCACAAAAGUCGACUCUCAAGGCACUCCUCUUCUCGCUAAACUUAGGGUUCUCGGUGGUGCCUUUUAUCUUUAUUCUGCAAUUUCUCCAUACCUACCAUAAUUCUCCUGUUCUAGGUGGGCAUAUGAGACGUCGUUGUGUAACCGAGAAACUGCG